rnacentral:lncRNA from 1 species
AGUAAUGUUAUACUGCCAGUUCUAUAUAAUCUCACUCCACAUCGAUUCUAAUGCUACAGAUCAUCUCCCACCACCCAUAGGUAAAACAAUAUGAUCUCCGAUGCUCUCAUAUCCAAUAGUUGUGCUACUACUACCAACACUAUUUGCAAUUGCAAAGGCUUUCAUUUUCCCAGAAAGCAGGGAUUCAGACUCUUCUUCAUUAGGUUCUGUUUGGGUCCAUGAGUGUUUUCCUGCUAAUCUCAGACCCUCAAGUUCCUUAGCUACUUCUUUCAUACUAGGUCUAUCCUCCCCUUUAACAUGUAAGCACAAUUUCGCAAGCAUAGCAACUGAUGUUAACUCCUCACUCUUUCCUUCGCAUUUAAUAUUAUCAUCAAGAACUUGGAAUAAGCAGCUUCGCUCUAGUGCUGAAAGGAAAUAGUUGGCUAAACUUCUCUCCUCUACUGGUCUGUCAUAGCUUAAUGCCUUCUUUCCUGUUAGUAGCUCGACCAGGACUACUCCAAAGCUGUAAACAUCACUUUUUGGAGUCAAUUGGUUCGUUUGCAUGUAUUCAGGGUCUAAGUAUCCAAAGGUUCCUUGUACCAUAGUAGAUAAUUGAGUUUGAUCCAGUGGAACCAAUCUUGAUGCUCCAAAAUCAGACACUUUUGCAGUGAAACUAGUGUUUAAAAGAAUAUUUGUUGAUUUGAUGUCUCUGUGUAUGAUUGGAGGGGAAGCCACAGAGUGCAAAUACCCGAGAACUCCAGCAGUUUCUGCAGCAACUCUUAACCGUAUGUCCCAAGAAAGAGAACGCGCCUUUGUUUUAUUGUGUAUGUGCUCAAAAAGGGAUCCAUUUUCUAUGAAUUCAUAGACUAGCAGAGGAGCUUGGGUUUCUAAACAACAACCAAGGAGCUUGACAACAUUCUUGUGGUUGAUCUGGGAAAGAACUAUCACCUCAUUGAUAAAUUGCUCGACUUGAUGUGGAUCAACUUCUUUGGACUUCUUGAUGGCAACUAGCCGAUUAUCUGCUAACAAGCCCUUGUAUACAGUGCCAUAUCCUCCUUGACCAACAAUUCUACUGUCGUGGAAGUCGUUUGUUGCCUUCUUGAGUUCGGCGGAAGUAAAUAUCUUUGCCAUAACUGGUGACUGUUGUCUUUGUGAAAGUUUUUCUUGCAACAAUAAGCCACCAUUUUGAAGAAAGAAUUUUUGCUUCAUUGUGUUCAACUUUCUUCUAUUGAGUAUUGAGAGCAACCAGCAGACAACAAGUACAAGAAUCGUAAUUCCUAGAGAAAUACCUGUAGUGGAAAUUUUAGGUUAGUUUCAAGCCUAUUCCUUCCUUUAUAUUCAACAAAUGAGUUAGAGAGUAAAAGGUACACGUGACGUGAUGUAGGGAAGCUAGAUACCAAUGUUCAUCAAUUUAGACAAUUUAGUAUAAAUGAAACUUUAAUACUAAAAGCAAUAAUCCUUUGGUACCAUGUGGUUGAGUGACACCAUUUAGGAGGGGUUUGAAAAAUCCGUGCUUACUAGUUUUUUUAGGCACCGAUUUUGAAUGGUUUAAAACCCAUUCAAAAUUGGUGGUGUAAUUUUGGUCGAUUCUCUCAACAUAUUAAAUCGACAAGUUUUGGCCAUUUCUCAUAUUUUCUUCUAAUAUUACCUUCUAUAAAAUAAUUAUUUUUAACCAAUAUAUAUUCUUCAAAAUUAACUUGUAAAUAAAAAUAUAUUCACUCAAAAAUUAUUUAUAAGCAAAAAAUUUCAUUUUAGUGAAAAAAAAAAUACUUAUAAGCAAAAUAUUACUCAGAAAAUAAGAAAAAUUACGUUACAAUUAAAAUAUUAUUUUUGAGUAAAAAAAAUUGCUUAUAAAAUAAGAUUCCACUAAUAAGAUAAAAAAAAAGUUACUUUAAAUAUAUAAAGUUACUUAUAAAUUUAAGUAAAUAUUUAACUUUAUUUAAUUUUUUAAGUUAAAUAUUAGUUAUAUGUAAAAAAAUAAAAUAUAAUAAUAAUAAUAAUAAUAAUAAUAAUAAUAAUAAUCAUCCCUACAAGUAAAAUCACUUGUGAGUAAAAAAAAUCAUACAACUAACUAUAAAUUGAAAAUCUUACUAGGAGUUUAUUCUUUUAAAAAACCUUCAGAAUCGGUGGAUAAUAAACUCCUACACUUAAGUUGAACAGUUUUAAAAAUCGCUACUAAUCGAUAUUUCGAAAUUCCCAAGCAGCCCCUAAGCUAAGAAUUGGUUCGUAGAUUUAUAGCUACAUGAACACUCUACCCUUUCAAAUCAUUUUACGAGUGAGUUUUAGCAAAUGUCACAGUUAUAAUCAGUAUAAAGAUUGACAUCCUAAUUGAGUAUGAAGACGUCUUAGGGAGUGUACUUUCCAUGGAAGACUUGUUUUAAAGUCACCCAACUUGAAACAUGGAUCAUUGACGGAGAUAAUUCUAAAUCCCAGGUGAAAUGUAAUGAAUGGAGGGCCUAGAUACAUCCAUGGAACAGCGAUGCUAACCUGCAACAAGUUUGAAUGCAACUGAUUGACCACGAAUACAACCCCGUCCAUGUUUCUCCCCGUCUCCAUUGUAACCUUUCGGACAAACACACUUAAAACUCCCUUCUGUGUUUACACAUCGGUCCUUUUCACAAUUGUUGAGACUUGGAUUUUUACAUUCAUCAAUAUCUGCAUAAAAGAAAUCACAAUAUGAAAGAAAGCGAAAUUAAAAUCUUAAAGCAAAGAAAAAAGUGAAAUUAAAAUCUUAAAAGGCACGUGGCUAAAAAAUUCAUGAUGUAUUUCUAGGUAAUACACAGGAAAUCAAACUUUAAUACCUUUACAACCACGAAUGAGGUAUGGAUUUCCUUCAUAACCCUCUGAACAAUAACAACGAUACCCAUUAUCGGUUCCGUUACAACUGGAAUACGUGCUUUUACAUGCAUAACUAGACAUGUUCUUCUGAGACUUCUCACAUGUUCCUCCGUCAAUUGCCCAGUCAACCACCAUGGGAAGCUUCUCUACAUUCUUCAGACUUGAAAGACUAUUUGGAGAAAAAGUGAAUGCACUUUCCUCAGCAAGAAAUGCAUAGCUGCAUUUAUCGAAGUCCCAGAUGGUGGUGUGAUUAUCAUAGCUCCGUGUGAAAUUUGAAAAGCUCUUCACCCACCACUUAGCUUUCCACACCCCUUUUGGGAUAGACACCUGGCAACAGCCCACACCGGAACAUGACCGGUCCUCAAGAUCAUCCUCCCUGGCACACGUGGAAGUGCACCCUGUCUCGUAAUCACUGUUGUUAAUCCUCCCAGAUACGAAAGCAUAAGUAUCGCAACCAACAACAGUGAACUUAUUUGCGGUAUUAUUCACUGUGAAUCCUUUAAAAAAUAUAUAAGCGUUGUUAGACUGUUCUAUUUUGCCAUUCCUAUCAUAACAGGCUUUCGCUAUGAAUGGAAACAUAGUCAAUUGACCCUCCAGGGAUAUGUUUGCGAUUUCUAGGUUUGUGUCCCUCCAGAAUGGUUUAGGAUGAUCGAAGGUGUCAUUACAAGUGACUAAGAAUCUUUCACUAAAGUAACAACCUUCCCUUUCCCUUGUGCCAAAAGGGAAGGGGAUACUUACAUCUCCACAACGAUCCGUGCAGUUGGGCUUUGCUGUUGGGAAAUUUGUUUGUGAUUUUGUGACAAAAAUAAGCAGCAUUGCUAGAAAGAAGUGGGCUUGCAGCAAAAGCAUAUGCAAUCUCAUGGUGAAUUUUGCUAUAUUUCUUUUUCCUAGAUUGUAUUGUAGUAACAGAAUUACAAGCUAAGCAUUGUACAAAAACGUUUGGAAGAUGAUUUCUUAUAUAGUUUGUAAGUCUUCGGCUAAGUCAAUAAGCAUCCUAUCUUGACUAAAAAGUCUCCUUUGGCUUUUGGAAGAUGAUUUCUUAUCUAGUUUGUAAGUCUUCGGCUAAGUCAAUGAUCAUCUUAUCUUGACUAAAAGUCUCCUUCUCAACAUCUAAUCCCCAAUAUUUGAUACUUAAUUUAGUUUUUACACUAAAAAUUCAAGAAAAUCAAAAGAUUAUCAAAAACAGCACCUUAUUUCUAGAAUAUAGAAAUGUGGCACCAAUUUGGGUAUAUUGGAAAGUGUCAAAAAAUCAUUGACAGAAAUAGCACUUUCUGGGAAUAAUUUUGAAAUUAGCACCAAUAUGGGAUUUUGUUCAAAAAUUGGAAAAAAAAAAAAAAAAAGGGAAAGGGAAGUGAAUUAAGCAAAAUCAAACCUCAAAUCCUUGUCCAACUCUAAUACAUCAUAAUUAAGUUAAGCCACUAAUUACAAACCCAAGUUUACCAAUAUUGAACAAAAAUGAGUUUUCUUACAUCUUGGAACUGAAUAGAAGAAAUGAAGAACCUUGUACUUGAGUCCAUAUUUCAUCUUCUUCGAUAAUCUCUUUUUUUCCUUCUUAUUUUCUUUCCCCUUUCCUUUCUCUAUCUCUUCUUUCCUUUUCUCUAACUCUUUCUCGAUUCUUCUUUUGUUUCUCUGAAAGGAAGGGAAAUCUCAAUUUAACAAUUUGAUACAAUAAAAUCAUUAAUAAUUAGGCCCUCAGCUUUGCCAUAGUUUGCAAUUAAACCCUUAUGUUUCCAUUUAAUAUAAAACUUACCUACUUGUUCUUAUACUCACAAAUUAGCUUCAACAAUUACCACUUGCUUAUACUAGUCCCCAUGAAAUAAUUUUACUUAAUUUAAGUCCUCAUUUGACUAACUUUGACAAAUAAAAUUUUUGACUUUGACUAUAUUGAGUGAGGUGUAACAGGCAAUGUUUUCGUAAUAAAGCUGGGCGCCAACCUUUGAAGCGUGGCCCUAUUGAACAAGCAAAGCCCAUGUUUUCAUUACUCUGCAUUAGUGUUGUACGUUUUGGCAGGUGACAUAAGAAGGGACUUACGCUAUUUUUUAUACAAGUUCAUAAGCACUAAACUUGGAAUCAAGAAGGGCGACCAGUAGCGUAUGACUUAUAUGCUAGGCUAGUUUUGCAAAGGGGUAUCAACAUGACUCGUCUAAAUACACAUUACAAAAGAUGUAGUCUUUGUUUUAUUAGCCACAAUCAAUGCUUUUACAAGACUUGAGUCUUUCUAAUUUAUGCAUCUUACCCUCGAUGUUCCAACCAAACUAGUUCUUAAAAAUGCCAAAUUGUCACCUCAUUAUCAAAACUUUUAUUGUUUUUUGUUGAGGUGGGCCGAUAAUUAGGAAACCAACUUCUAAUUUAUGCAUAGUACCUUCGAUGUUCCAAUCAAACUAGUUUAAAAAUAUGCCUAAUUGUCACCUCGUUAUCAAAAUUUUUAUUGUUUAUUGUUGAGAUGGGCCGAUAAUUAAGAAACCAACGUAUAAUGAUAUGAGCCUCAUUCGUUAUGAAAGUAUUGAUCAUGACUGACAUAUAUGUUAGUGCCUACUGUAGAAAUGGACUAAGUCGUAUCUUAGACUUCUAUGUUUCAUUGGCUUAUUGAAAGAAAAAAUUAUGAUUUUUUUUCCUAUACAUAUAUUUAACAUAUACUCGUUUGUCAUGACUAGGAUGAGAAAUUUCGAUACUAAAUGAAUAAUGUAGCAAUUUGAUCUAGAAAUGAAUCAAUAAAACCUUCUUCAUUUUAGAUCUAGAUUAUUCGCUUUUGUGAAUAGGGAAAUGUGUCAAUCCUUUUCUCUCUAUUAAUUAGAAUUACAAUAGUGAUGUUAUUAUACAACCUAAAGAAGAGGAGAUGAGAUUUGAUUAUGGAAAUAAAAAAAAAUAGUUUAUGAGAUUUUUUUUUUUAAUUUAUAAAUGGAAGGUCAUUUGAGCAAGAGACAUUGGAUGGAGGUUAUUUAACCAAAUAUAUGAUUUGACCAGGCUAAAAUAUGCCUAGUUGUCACCUCCUGAUCAAAACUUUCAUAGUUUAUUGUCAAAGUGGAUCAAUAAAUAAGAAACCAACGUAUGAUGAUAUGAAUUUCAUUUGUUGUGUAGUGUAUCUUAGCUUCAGUAUCACUCUCUUAUUGUGAAAAUAAUGUGCUAAAAAUUGAAAAACAACAUGUGAUUAAAAAGGUUAUAAGUCAUGUAUCAAUAUUCAUUCUUCUAAGCAAUUUAAUAUAAUGAAACUAUAAAACUGAAAGCAGAUAGUCAUUUUGUACCAGAUGGUAACAAGGAUUGCACAAGCAAUCUCUUUGCCAAUCCCAAAUGAAUCAAACAUAGUAAUCAAAUUUGAAUCCACGAUACUUAAAAUCAAACAAAGAUUAGGUCUAGGCAUGUUAGACAUAUUAUCUGAAUUCAAUUCAACGAGUCGUACACUAUUAUUUGAGUAAAAACUAGAGUCAAUUAAACGUCAACCCAACUCCUAAUUUUUUUGGAAGUUGCAAUGUCUCUAAUUGUAUUCCAUGUCACCUUAUUUUUUUUUUUUUUUUUUUUUUUUUUGCUAAGGCUUAAUUGUAGGUUUAUACCUACAACCUACUCGGCUUUAAGAGUGAACUCUACACAAUUAAUAUCAAUAUAUCUCUCUUCUAUAAUAACUAAUUUUUUAAAACCAACAAGGAGUCGAUUCUAAAAACAAGGGUGAAAUGUGCACACAGAGGGGAAGUGGAGAAAGGGAGAGUGAGAAAAGCUACAGCAAUGGAACAAUUGGGCCAACCUGCGACAAGUUUUAUUACAAGUGUUUGACCAAGGAUGCAACCUCGUCAAUCCUUUCUUUCUUAGCCAUGAUAACCUUUUAGGCAAUCACAAAUAAAAAAACCCCAUGUGUGCCUGUGCUAUAAAAAAUUUCUGGUUAAACAGACUACCAUGCACAAAAGCAUUAGUAUCACAACCAACUACAGUGAACUUAUUCGUGGUAUUAGAGGUGAGGCACCUGGUUAAUCGUAUGGAGAUUUCAUUUUGGACUACUCCGGUGCCAUUGUGAUAAUAACAGGCUCUUUCUAUGUAUUUUAGGACGUGCAUUUUGCCCUCCAGGUUUAUGUUCGAGUCUAGUAAGGAUGGUUUGGGAGGAUAGUAGAGGGUGUCAAUAUUAAAAAUGUCUAAGAAAUUAAAUAAAUGUUUAGGUGACAGCCUUCCCUUGUGUCAAAAGGGAAGGGAAUACUCACAUCAUGUCCACAAGUUCAGUUGGGCUUUGCUUUUUGGUAAUUUGCUCGAGUAGAAAUUAAUUUUUAGGCAAAAAUAAGCAGAGUUACUAGAAGGAACUGGGCUUGCAGCAAAUAUAUAUUCGAUCCAUUGUGACUCUAAUUAUAAUUCUUUAUGUAGGGAUGACGAAAAUUCUCGCACCCGAUUGAUCCCAUAUUCCACCACCCGAGAUGAGGUGGGGAAUUCACUCCUGAAUAGCAGUGCAUAUAUGGUGAACAUGAUCCCACCUAAAUUCCCCAAACCCCCAAAUCUUUUAUUUUAUUAUAUUAUUUAUAUAUUUUUCUAAUGAACUCAUAUUUAAACAAUAACUAAAUUAUUAACGGCGAUAUUUCAAUUUCGUUGUGCCCCGUUGUCAUCCCUAAUCCUCCUAAUCUGGUUUGCAUUAGCCCUCGUUUGGCCCCCUUUUUUGAAAUAAAAAUGGGUGGAAUAAUAUUUUUUUUAAAUGAGUGGUUAAAAAAGAAGGAAAAGUUUUCGAUUUACAUAUAAUACUAUUUUAUGAAAUAUUGUGUGGUCGAAAAUAGAAAAUAUAAAAAUGAAACGUAAUGUAAUGGGACGCAAAUGAAGACUCACAUAUGAGGAUUUAUAAAAUUGAAAAUAUGUCUGGUAGAAUGGAAUCUUCUGUAACUUUGCAAGUCUUCAAAUAGUCAAUUAACGUAUAAUCUUGACUAGAAAAGUCUCCUUUAUGAAGUGUUUACAGGAUCAAUUCCUUCAUCAACGAAAGCUAUUUUGCAUUAAUGUAUACUGUUUGUUUACGGUAAUCUGAUUUUACAGAUUUGUUUAUAAGCUUCGAUAGCCGAUUUUGAAUAUAUACAACAAAGAUUCUUGAUAAUCAUAAUGAAAUCAUGUUACAAGUGUAACAUGUAAAAAAUUUUUGAAAGGAAAAUUUUACAAGUAAUACAUGGCGCGACAUUAUUGAAAGAUGGAAAGAAAAGAAAAAAACAAUCCACUUACAUUUUGCUUCGUUAGUAUCCUACAAAUUCUGUUAAAUUUUUUCUAAACUUAUGCUUUUAUUGAUUCUUUUUCAUUGACUGUAUUCUAAUGACAGAAUUACAACCUAAAAAUAUGUUUUCUAGAAUGGGUUCUUAUGUCAGUUUGCUUUCGCCUUUAUUGACCAAAAAUGUCGGUCAACACAUUUUUUUAUGCCUAACCUUAACGUGUCUACGAGGCCACAUUGUGAAAAGCUACUGAUGAUGUUAGCAUAAUUUGAUUUGAAGUAAAUUAAGUUGACAUCUAUUGAAAUAUUUGAUUAAAUAGUCGGACAUUUUUCUCGCUUAAUAAUUAUCAAGUUCUUCUCUUUCAUAAAAAUAAUUUCGUUUCUCAAUUUUAGUAGCAUGUUAAAUUUGAGGUUUUUCUCAUUUUCUUAAUAUGUUUAUUUUUUUCUUAUUUAAUCAAGAUAAGGGCAUUGUUUUUAGUUUGAACAAAGCGAAUCGUUGUUGAAAUGAUUUUAAGCAUUGUUUGAUAUAUAUCAGACAUUGAAGUUAUUACAUUACUUGUCCUAGAAAAUUUAACUCCAUGACCUAAUCUAACUAUCGAAGUUUCAUUUAUUGUACUCACGACUCGAGAAGUAGCAAAAUUUCUUGCUAGAAUGAAUUCAAGAAAGAAGUAAUUAAUUGCAGUUGGUUAGCGGAAUUGUGCAUUAAAAAAAACAUAGGAAAGUUUCCAGUUGUCAAAAUUAAGUCUAAAAUAAAACACAAAAUUGGGAGAUGAUAACAGUAUAUCAACUACAUUGAUAUUGCCAAUCUUGCAAGUCCAAUAUUGUAAUCUCAUCCACAUCCUUGUUUCACAUAUAAGGAAAUUAACACAAGAUAAAAUCAUAAAUUAACUCGAAAACUAUGACGUCAAUCUCGCCAGUACUAUAUAACCUCACACCUUAUGCUACAUACUAUCUCUCACUGAUAUGAUCCCUCAUGCUAUCAUAUCCAAUAGUUGUGCUACUACCCUCACCAUUUGCAAUUGCAAGGGCAUUAAUUUUCCUAGAAAGCAGGGAUUCUGACUCUUCUUCACUGGGUUCUGUUUGGAUCCACGAGUGUUUUCCUGCUAAUCUCAGACCUUCAAGUUUUAUAGCUACUUUCUUGAUACUAGGUCUAUCCUCCCCUCUAACAUGUAAAUACAUUCUGGCAAGCAUAGCAACUGAUGUUAACUUCUCACUAUUUCCUUCACAUACAAUAUUAUCAUCAAGAACUUGGAAUAAGUUGCUUUGCUUCGGUUUUGAGAGAAAAUAGUUGGCUAAACCUCUCUCCUCCUCUGGUCUGUCGUAACUAAAUGCCUUCUUUCCUGUUAGUAACUCGACCAGGACUACUCCAAAGCUAUAAACAUCACUUUUUCAUGUCAAUUGGUUUGUUUGCAUGUAUUCACGAUCUAAAUAUCCAAAAGUUCCUUGCACCACAGUAGAUAAUUGAGUUUGAUCAAUGGAAACCAAUCUUGAAGCUCCAAAAUCAGAAACUUUGGUUGUGAAAUUUGUGUCUAAAAGAAUAUUCGUUGAUUUGACAUCUCUGUGUAUGAUUGGAGGAGAAGCUGCUGAAUGCAGAUACACAAGCACUCUAGCAGCCUCUGUAGCUACUCUUAACGGCAUAUCCCAAGAAAAAGAACAUGCCUUUGCUUUGUUCUCUAUGUGUUCAAAGAGGGUGCCAUUAUUGAUGAAUUCGUAAACUAAGAGAGGAGCUUGAGUUUCUAAACAACAACCAAGGAGCUUGACAACAUUCCUGUGAUUGAUCUGGGAAAGAACAAUCACUUCAUUUAUAAAUUGUGCUACUUGGAUUGGGUCAAUUUCUUUCGAUUUUUUUAUGGCAACUAUUAUAUUAUCUGAUAAGAAGCCUUGGUAUACAGUGCCAAAGCCUCCUUGACCAAAAUUCUAUUUUCAUGGAAGUCAUUUGUUGCCCUCUUUAGCUCAAUGGAAAUGAAUAUUUUUGCUCCAUCUGGUGACAGUUCUCUUCGGGUGAGUUCUUCUUCCAACAAUUGUCCACCAUUUCGAAGAAAGAAAGUGUGCCUCAUCUUGACCAACUUUUUUUCCUGGAGUACGGAGCAUAACAAAGCACAAUAAAAAUGAUUCCUAGAGAAAUACCUGUAAUGUAAAUUUUACGUUAGCUUCAUUGCCACAUUUCUUUUGUUAAACAAAUGAGCGUGGAAGAAAUAGAUAAUGUAAAUAUCAAUAUUCUAUAUUGUUUUAGGUAAUUUAGUAUAAAAGGAACUAUAACAUUAAAAUCAAUUACUCCUUCAGUAACAUCUGGUAAGCAGGAAAUUCAAGGUCAGCCCAAUGACUAGCUAGAAUUCUGUUGGAGCUUUGACGUUGAGUACACACCUACUCACUUUUGGGCGGGCGGGGAAGGAAAUUAGAAUUACUUAUCUACACCCAUGGAAUAGUGGAUCUAAUAACCUGUUGCAACUUCGAAGACAAGUGAUUGACCAUGAAUGCAACCUUGUCCAUCAUUUUUACCAUCUCCACGGUAGCCUUUAGGGCAAACAUACCUAAAACCCCCUGGUGUGUUCUCACAUUUCUUUUCACAUUUAUGGACGCUUUGAUCCUUACAUUCAUCAAUGUCUGCAUAACAAAUAUAAGAAUAAUAAGAAUGAAAAAUGAAAUUAAAAUCUUGGUUAUUAUAUCGUGAACAAUAUGGUGUUAGAUCAUUUAUGUACUUUAAGAUAAUAUAGCCAUACCUUUACAACCGCAAUCACGAUCGCGAUCAAGGUAAGGAUUUCCUUCCCGACCUUUCUGGCAAUGACAAUGAUACCCAUAACCAUUAUCAGGUUCACGACAAUAGGAAUUCUCACUUUUACAUGCAUAACUGUAAAUGUUAUUUUGAGCCUCCUCACAAGUUCCUUCUCCAACUACCCAAUCAACCACCCUUGGAAGCUUUUUCACAUUCCUCAGGUCAGAAAGACUACUUGCGGAGAAAUUGAAUGCACUUUCCUCAGCUAGAAAAGCAUAGCUGCAAUUAUUGAAGUCUGACACAUCUGUGAAAUUAUCAAAGCUACCCAAUUUCACAUUAACUGUCCGCACCUGUUUCGGGAUAAGUAUAUAGUAACAGCCUAAACCAGAGCAUGAGCCAUUGACCAAAUCAUCCUUCUUGUCACACAGGGAAAUACACCGUCUGAUAUUUUCGAUUCUCUAGGCGCCCAAAUACAUAAGCGUCAGUAUCACAACCAGCGACAAUGAAUUUAUUGGCAAUAUUAUUGACACUGAAUCCGAAGGGCACUCUUGAAGAGGUAUUUCGAUAUGACACUCUGAUGCCAUCUGGAGAAUAACAGUCUCUUGCUAUGAAUUGCAAAACACGCAAUUGGCCCUCCAGGGAUAUGCUUGUGAUAUUAAUGUAUGUGUCCAUCAUCAUAGUGGGUGUCAUUACAAGUGACUAAGAAUGAUUUGUUAAAGUAACAGCCUUCGCUCAUGCCGAAAGGGAGGGAAUACUUAUAUUUCCACAACGAUCCAUAUAGUUUGGCUUUGAUAUUUCGAAAUUUGCUUGAGUAGAAACUGUUGGAAAAAAUGGUUAUGAAAUGGGUCAACUUUGAGCCCGAAUUUCAGUGGAACCCACCUUUUAAUUAAUACGUGACCUAGCAUAUUCACGUUCUACUCCGCGAGAUGAUUAACGUGAUAUAUUUAUUUAUCGAAAACCAUUUAAAACUGAAUGAAAUAUUAAGUGUUAAAAUAACCCACAUAAACUAAGUAUUAUGGGAGAAUUUGAUUUUCCAAACACUUAUCCCACAUAGGAAAGUUAGAAAACUUUGGUGUGAUUUAUAAGGUGGAAGUUUGGAAUUGGGUUUGGGCCCCAAGGGGUACUAAUAGUCUUUGAAAGGGGGAAGACCUAUAUCCUAUUGGGUUCGGUCAUAAAUCUACACGCGCGCGCCGUCGUCGCCAUCCGUCCGAUCGGCCGGCACGGUACGUGUCCGAGUUCGGUGCUGGUGGACCUUUGCAGGACAAAAUUUAUUUAAAAUUUUGGGUUGGGCCAAAUUGUAAAUAAUCAAAUUUUUGGGUAUAUUAUGAAAUUUAAAUUUUGACUUAUUAUUCCGGGGUGUUUUAUUUUCUUUUAACAGUCGUCUGUUUACCGACCAAACAGCCGACUGUUAACCGACUUAACAAACAUGACUUUUAAGAAUAGCAUGUCUGUUCGGAUUUUUGGGGCCUGUCUGAAAGGUGAUUACUGUUCGAAUGGCCACGAACAAGUCUAUAAAUAGCCUGCUUCUCUACCAAAAAAUUCACACCAUUUUCAUUGCAAACUUUCUGUGCUUUGAGUCUCAUUCCCCUCUCUCUCUCAUUCUGAUAUUGUCUUGAAGUAAAACACACUUCGUUGAGUUCGUUGGAACUCCUGCAGAUUGCAGUGCUGCUUCCGUAGGAGACGAAAAUUUGUUCUAUCCUGGAAAAGGAUUGCUGGACGCCUUUAGCACCAUUGAAGGUAGCAAAUUCAUUUUAAGGAGACAUCGUGAAGUCGGUGGGCUCGAAUUACAAUUUUGAAUCUGUUGAUCAAUUCUUACAUUCAGGUGAUUCUGUCGGAUUGUUUUCGAAGGAGUAACUUCAAACUCCAAUAACAACAAUCUUAAAACGAAUUUUCUAUUAUUAUUUGUUUUUGUUUCUUCUCCUUCUUACCUUUGAUCUUCUGAUUGUGUUUCAGAAAUGGUAACUUCUGGUACCACACUCCCGAAUACAACCGGGAAAAAACCAGAAAAGUUUAAUGGGUCAGAUUUUACGCCUUGGCAACAAAAAAUGCUUUUUUAUAUGACGACGUUAAAUCUGGCUAAAUUUCUUAAAGAAGACGUGCCUUCCUAUACCGAGCAAGACAGUGAUACUGAAAAAUUGGCUGCGAUUGAUGUAUGGAAGUAUUCUGAUUUCUUGUGCAGAAAUUAUGUAUUUAAUGGACUGGAUAACACAUUAAAUAAUGUGUACUGCAAUACUAAGUCCGCAAAAGAACUGUGGGAAUCUUUGGACAUAAAGUACAAAACCGAAGAUGUCGGGACGAAGAAAUUCAUUGUCGGUCGUUUUUUGGAUUAUAAAAUGGUUGACAACAAGACUGUCAUAUCCCAAGUUUAAGAACUUCAGAUCAUACUUAGCGACAUCCAUGCCUAAGGAAUGAAACUAAGUGAAUCAUUCCAAGUCGCUGCACUAAUUGAGAAAUUACCACCUUCAUGGAAGGAUUUCAAGAAUUACCUAAAGUACAAGCGGAAGGAAAUGAAACUUGAAGAUAUCAUUGUCCGAUUGAGAAUAGAAGAAGACAAUCGCAAAACUGAAAAAAGGAAUGGUGCAUCUCAUUCGAUGGAAUCAAAAGCAAACAUCGUAGAAGGAGGUUUCAAGACUAGCAAAAAGAGGAAGCACAAUGGGGAAGAACAAAUUGGUUCUUCAAAAACUGCUAAAAAGUUUAAAGGCAACUGUUAUAAUUGUGGCAAGGCAGGACAUCGAUCCAAGGAUUGUCGAAAACCAAAGAAUGUGAAGGGAAAAACUAACUAGGCCAAUGUAACAGAACAUGAGAACCUCACUGAUAAGGUACAAGACAUGAAUCUUUUUGCAAUCGUCUCUGAAUGCAACUUAAUUGGAAACACUAAGGAGUGGUGGGUAGAUACUGGAGCUACUCGUCACAUAUGCUCAAACCGCGGGAUGUUCUCUACCUAUAAAGCAAUGGAUCAUGAUGAACAUCUCUACAUGGGAAACUCGUCAUCUUCCGAGGUAGAAGGACAUGGGAAGAUAGUGUUGAAAAUGACAAGUGGAAAAGAGCUCACUCUGAAUGAUGUUCUUCAUGUGCCCGAUAUUAUGAAAAACUUGGUAUCUGAUUCUCUACUAAGUAAGAACGGGUUUAAGCUAGUAUUUGUCUCAGACAAAUUUGUACUCUCUAAGAAUGAAAUGUUUGUAGGAAAGGGCUACCUGAAUGAAGGGCUCUUUAAGUUGAAUGUAAUAACUGUUGUACCUCCAAAUAUGAAUAAGAAUAAAUCUUCUUCUUACUUGCUUGAGUCAUUUAAUAUUUGGCAUGAAUGAUUAGGACAUACAAAUUAUAACACUUUGCGUAGACUAAUCAAAUUAGAUUUAUUACCAAAGUGUGAUUUAAAUCCUAAUCACAAAUGCAAUAUAUGUGUAGAAGCCAAAAUGUCAUGUCUACCCUUUCGUUCUGUUGAAAGAAGUACCGAACCCCUAGAUUUAAUUCACACCGACAUAUGUGAUUUAAAAUUUGUUCAAACUAGGGGAGGCAAUAAGUGCUUUAUCACUUUUAUUGAUGAUUGUACUCGAUAUUCCUAUGUGUAUUUGCUCAAAAGUAAAGACGAAGCAAUUGAAGUGUUUAAACACUAUAAGUUAGAAGUUGAAAAUCAACUUAGCAAAAAGAUUAAGGCCAUAAGAAGUGAUAGAGGUGGUGAAUAUGAUUCACCAUUUGAGAAAUUCUGUUCGGAACACGGAAUUAUUCAUCAAACUACCGCGCCUUAUUCUCCUCAAUCUAAUGGUAUUGCUGAAUGCAAGAAUUGAACAUUGAAGGAGAUGAUGAAUGCUAUGUUAAUAAGUUUUGGAUUACCACAGAACUUGUGGGAGGAAGCCUUGCUCUUUGCCAACUAUAUUCUUAACAAACUACCACAUCGAAAAACACAAAAGAUACCUUAUGAAGUAUGGAAAGGUCACAAACCUAAUUAUAAAUAUUUGAAGGUAUGGGGAUGUUUGGCUAAGCUAGUAGUUCCUAAACCUAAAAGAGUUAAGAUAGGACCUAAAACCAUUGAUUGUGUAUUCAUUGGUUAUGCCUACCAUAGUAAUGCAUACAUAUUUACGGUAAAUAAGUCUGAAAUACCUGAUAUGCUUGUUAAUACAAUUAUUGAAUCAAGGGAUGCUACAUUUUUUGAAAAUACUUUUCCUUAUAAUAUGCAAGGUGAAUCAAAUUCACAAAAGAGAUCUCGUGAAAACGAAGAGACUAUAGAUCAAGAAUCUAUAAAUGAACAACCUAGACAAAAUAAGAGGGCUAGGACGUCAACCUCCUUUGGGCCUGAUAUUCUAACAUAUUUGUUAGAAAAUGAACCUCAAAGUUUUAAAGAGGCUAUGUCAUCAACCGAAGCUUCAUAUUGGAAAGUAGCUAUUCAUAGUGAAAUUGAAUCCAUACUACAAAAUCAUACUUGGGAAUUUGUAGACCUCCCUCCCGGUAAUAAGCCUUUGGGAUGUAAAUGGAUUUUCAAAAGAAAAAUGAAAGUAGAUGGAUCAAUUGACAAAUAUAAAGCAAGAGGCUACAAGCAAAAAGAAAGUCUUGAUUAUUUCGAUACUUAUUCUUCUGUGACAAGAAUCACUUCCAUACGUAUGCUUAUUGCAAUAGCAACAUUGAAUGGUUUGGAUAUACAUCAAAUUGAUGUUAAAACGGCAUUUUUGAAUGGGAAAUUAGAUGAAGAAAUUUAUAUGGAGCAACCUGAAGGAUUUGUGGCCUCAGGACAAGAAAAGAAAGUGUGUCGACUUGUUAAAUCACUAUAUGGAUUAAAGCAAGCUCCUAAGAAAUGGCAUGAAAAAUUUGACAUGGUUAUGAUAUCAAAUGGUUUCAAAAUUAACGAGUGUGACAAAUGUGUUUAUGUCAGGAACACUCCAAACCAAAUGGAUAUGUCAUGGUAUGUUUAUAUGUCGAUGACAUGUUGAUUAUGGGUAACAAUGAUACCAUAAUUCAAACUACAAAAAGGAUGCUAACAAGUAAAUUUGAAAUGAAGGAUUUAGGUGUGGCCGAUGUUAUAUUAGGAAUUAAAAUUUCUAGAAUAUCUGAUGGUCUCAUAUUGUCUCAAUCACACUACAUUGAGAAGAUUCUUGAUAAAUUCAAGAAAUACAAUAUUAUUCCUAUAAAAACACCUAUGGAUGUUAGUAUGCAUCUUGUUUUCAAUACUGGUGAUAGUACGUCUCAAUUGGAAUACUCUCGUAUUAUUGGCAGUUUAAUGUAUGUCAUGAAUUGCACUCGACCUGAUAUUGCCUAUUCAAUUAGUAGGCUAAGUCGAUAUACAAGUAAUCCAAGCACUGAUCAUUGGAAGGCUACUGUUAGAGUUUUAGGGUAUUUAAAACAUACCCAAAAUUUUGGAUUGCACUAUUCGAGAUAUCCAGCAGUACUUGAAGGAUACUGUGAUGCAAACUGGAUAUCAGAUACUAAAGACUCCAAAUCAACAAGUGGAUAUGUAAAUCUUGAAAAUAGACAUGUAUAGCUAGAUCAACAAUGGAAUCUGAAUUCAUUGCAUUAGACAAAGCCGGAGAAGAAGCCGAAUGGCUACGAAACUUUCUAGAAGAUAUUCCAUGUUGGACAAAACCUGUGCCUGCUAUAUGUAUCCAUUGUGAUAGUCAAUCAGCAAUUGGUAGGGCACAAAAUGCAAUGUACAACGGUAAAUCUCGAUAUAUACGUCGUAGACACAAUACUGUUAGACAAUUGCUCUCUACAGGCAUUAUCUCUAUAGAGUAUGUGAAAUCAAAAGAGAAUAUUGCGGAUCCGCUAACUAAAAGUUUAACAAGAGAGCAAGUUGAAAGUUCAUCGAAGGGGAUGGGAUUAAAACUAAUAAAAUAAUCAAAAGUUUCCAUGGUGGCAACCCAACCUAGUUGACUGGAGAUCCCAAGAUCUAAGUUCAAUAGGACAACCGAACUGUGAAAAACUUAGUAUGCACUGGGAAGAUUUUUGCUUCUACCCAUUCCUAUGAUGAGCCAGUGCCCAGCUACCACGAAAUAGGUUAAGAUACGCUUUUAAUGAUUUCUAUAUCUUGAUUCCUUCAAGUGGAGUAUAGCAGAAUACUUUUUAUGGAAAUCACCUGUGUGACUGAGAAGGGGCCGCUUCUAAGAGAAUUAGGUGAAGAUGAAUUCUCUAAAAAUCACUCAUGAACCAGGAGGUGUCCAAGGCCAAAAUAGACACAAAUGUGAAAACCAACUGUGUUCGAAGAAAACUGUGUGACUUCUAUUGUUUAGGUUUCCAUAAACGGCUGACUGUUCAAAGCAACUUGCUACUGAUUGGCUAAGGAAAUCUGAUAGAUUUUACUAGGGAAAGUUCAAAGUUGUUGACUACUUAUCCCGAUGCAGUCUUCUUCAAUUUUUUCUUUGAAAAACAUAUCAGAUGUUAUCGUUUGGAAUAAGGCCAACAUAUUUCAUUCGUGUGGGGGAUUGUUGGGAAAAAUGGUUAUGAAAUGGGUCAACUUUGAGCCUGAAUUUCAGUGGGACCCACCUUUUAAUUAAUAUGGGAUCUAGCAUAUUGACGUUCUACUUCGCGAGAUGAUUAACGUAAUAUAUUUAUUUAUCGAAAACCAUUUAAAAUUGAAUGAAAUAUUAAGUGUUAAAGUAGCCCACAUAAACUAAGUAUUAUGGAAGAAUUUGAUUUUCCAAACACUUAUCUCACAUAGGAAAGUUAGAAAACUUUGGUGUGGUUUAUAAGGUGAAAAUUUGGAAUUGGGUUUGGGCCCCAAGGGGUACCAAUAGUCUUUGAAAGGGGAAAGACCUAUAUCCUAUUAGGUUCGGUCAUAAACCCACACUCGCGCGCCGUCCCUGCCGUCCGUUCGAUCGGCCGGCUCGGCUCGACACUGCACGAGCACGUGCUCGUGUCCGAGUCCGAGUCCGGUCCGGUUCGGUGCGGGUGUGGGUGGACCUUUGCACAAUAUUAACUUUUUGGACGAAAUUUAUUUAAAAUUUUGGGCCAAAUUGUAAAUAAUCAAAUUCUUGGGUACAUUAUGAAAUUUAAAUUUUGGCUUAUUAUUCCAAGGUGUUUUAUUAUCUUUUAACAGUCGUCUGUUUACCGACCAAACAGUCGACUGUUAGCCGGCUGUUAACCGAUUUAACAGACAUGACUUUUAAGAAUAGCAUGUCUAUUCGGAUUUUUGAGGCUUGUCUGAAAGGUGAUGACUGUUCGAAUGGCCACGAACAAGUCUAUAAAUAGCCUACUUCUCUACCAGAAAAUUCCCACAAUUUUUCAUUGCAAACUUUCUGUGCUUUGAAUCUCAUUCCCCCCUCUCUCAUUCUAAUAUUGUCUCGAAGUAAAACACACUUCGUUGAGUUCGUUGAAACUCCUGCAGAUUGCAGUGCUGCUUCCGUAGGAGAUGAAAAUUCGUUCUAUCCUGGGAAACAAUUGCUGGACGCCUUUAGCACCAUUGAAGGCGGCAAAUUCGUUUUAAGGAAACAUCGUGAAGUCGGUGGGCUCGAAUUACAAUUUUGGAUCUAAUGAUCAAUUCUUACAUUCAGGUGAUUCUGUUGGAUUGUUUUCGAAGGAGUAACUUCAAACUCCAAUAACAAUAGAAACAGAUAUAAGCAGAAUUGACGUAAGUAAUUUGGCUUGCAGCAAAUGCAAAUGCAAUCCCAUGGUUCUUUUGUAGUCUAACCGAACUCCAACCCACGAACUAUAUAAACAUGUUUGCUCAUACAGAUUUGCAAUGCCACAAAUAUCUUAUCUUGACUAGAAAAGUCUCCUCUUGAAGUGUUUAGAGGGGCAAUGUUUUAAUUGUCAAAAAUUACGUUGCAUUGCCAUAAAAUUUCUUUGAUUGAAUUGCUUGUGUUUUAUCUGCUAACUGAUUUUGAAUAAUAUACAUUAAUGAUUUCUGGAUGUGGUUAAGAUUUAUUGCUUGCAUUUUCUCUUCUAUAAUUUACAAUUUUUUUAAUCAAAUUAAAAUAAUUAUAUCCUAGUUUCUUGUCAACUACUCAGUACUUCGUAGUGCAUCAACAAAUCCUUACAUGACUUUGCAAGUCGACACGACGAAACACAACAAUAUUGAGGAAAAGGUGCAUUGCUUUAUAACUAUAAAGCAAUGAGAGGGACAUGCACUCUAUACAAAUUCAUUGUGUAUUAUGAGAUUGCUAAUAUGACAAAGCCUCUUGUAAAAGUUCAAGCAAUUUUGAUAAAAAGUUGGUAUAACGAGUGGUUGAAAAGUUAAUAAAAUUACAGAUUUUAUGAAGACCCUAUUUGUUAGAAAUUAAAAUUCAGAUUUUAAUGUAAUCCCUUGUUUGAGCCCCAUUUUUUGGGGAAAAAAAAAGGAGAAUUCUUUAACAAUAUUUUGACUCUAUUUCAACCAUAAUUUCUUCAAUAAAAUAAUAUUACACGCAAAUUCAAAACUUUUCCUUAUUUUUAAACCACAUUUUCCAUCAAUACACUAUUUAAAAAUUCAUUUUUUUGACAAAAAUGGGCUCAAACAAAGGCUAAGUCAAGGUCAACAAUUAAUUUUAAUCACACAUUUUAUGAGAUCCGCAACUUUUCAACCAUACAUCUCAUCAACUUUUAUCAAAAUCUACUAAAAUUUUGAUUUUAAUCUACACUAAACAAGGGUGAAAUAUCUGAUUAAAAUUUAAACCUGAUCAAUUCAAAAUUUAAUUAAAAAAAUUAGAAAAUUCUUGUCACCAUUAAUGCCUUCUCCUAUUUGUUUAAUCUAUAUAAUUAUGAGAAUGACAUUUGUUAGACUUUUCUGGGUCAUAUGGCUAGGACCGCUUCUUCAAAUAACUAAAAAACCAAAAGAUGCUUCCUGUGCCAGACAUUCAAAGACUUGACUCUCGUCUUGUGUAAUCUAUAAUAUAUUAAAUAUUAUGUUAAGUGAGAAUUAUUUUUUUGGACAAUUCUAGUCAUAUUGCAAUUCAAUUAUUUCAUUAAUACCAUACUUUUCAUUUUUCAAUACUUAUUUAAUAUUCAGUUAAAUUCCUCUAUUUAUGUGCAUGUAUAGUAAUUAAUGUUUAUGUUCAGGGAUUUGCAUUUCUCUCAUAUUUAUAUCAAAAUGGUGAAAAUUAAUUCAUCAAGUUCAUGUAUAUCAAAAUGGUGAAAAUUAAUUCAUCAAGUUCAUGUACACUUGGCUAUUCAAUUACUCUAGAAGUACAUAAAUUAUUUAUUUUCAUGUACACUCAUUUAUUUCCAAGCUUAUUCAUUUAAUAUAUGAUAUAAAUUUAUGCUCGAGGUUUACGUACACACUCUUUUGUCUAACGUAAUUUUCAAGAUCACGUAUGUAUAAAUUAUUUUCAAUAAUACUUUAUUUUUUCAUUUUUCAAUAGGUAUUUAACAUUCAAUUAAGCAUUUCACUAUUAAUUUACAUGCAUUAUAAUAAUUAACAUUUAUUUUCAGGGACUUGCAUUUCUCUCAUAUUUAGAUUAAAACGGUUCAAAUUAAUUUUCCAAAUUCAUGUACAUUAACUUUUACGGUACUUAUAAAGCAAUUCAAAAUAACGUGCAACAGACGUUUACCUCUUAUUAGUCUUCAUAAAAAGGACAAAAAGUAUUAUCACGACUUGACAUAAGUGGUAGUGCCCAGAGCAAAAAUGAACGUUGUCUAUGUCAUGGAGUUGGAGUACUUUGUUGGGAAAAUUGGUGGUUUGUAUGUAUAUAAAAUAUUAUUUAACAUAACUAUUUUAAACAUAAACAUAUAAAUAAUAUAAUUCAAUAAGAAUACGAACUUAAGAGGAGAGUUAGAAAUGGCAAGCCUUAGAAGUCACGUCGAGGACGCUGUCCUAAAGUCGUGUCACCUCCUUUUUCGUGUAGGUUCUUUUGACACUACACAAUUUCAAGAUAAAAUCCAUGUGGCUCUCCUUUUAUAGGCACGACCAUAGAAAGAUAAUUGAAUGAGCUUUACAUCGAUUAGCCAAAAUAGUAUAUUAUAAAAUAGUAAAGAAUAUUUUUGGUUUUAAUCAUCUCAAGUUGUCUUUUCUAGUUGUAUCUCAAGAUUGCGAUUUGAAACUUAAUAUAAUUUCAACAUACUUUAUUGGCUUUAUAGAAGAAAUAAUGCGAUACAGUAAAGGGGAUGAAUAUUACAUCUUUUGAGAUUAUUCUUUUCCCUUAGUCUUCUCUUAGGAGGCUUCGGAAGAAAAUUCGACACAAGACAUGUAGCAUGUUAAAUUUUGGGAUUCUACUUUAAAAGGCCAAUAUUAUUGAGAGGAGUAGCUCAAAUCCUUAUAAAAUAAUCUAUAUUGUCAUCAUUAUUCGAUGUGAGAUUUUAUCUCUUAACACAACAACAAUGUACCCCGAAUAUGGAUGUGGAAAGGUGUUCCUUAAAAAAGUACGUAUCGCAAGUAUACGGAUCGCACUCAAGUAACAAAGUGGACUAUUUUAAUCCAAGUUAUCGAUUCACUGGUGAAUUUUACUAUCGAUUACACAGUUUUAAUUAAUUUAAUUCAAACAAUAAAAACAAACACACAAUAAGAUUUGAUUUUGGAAAAUAAGGAAAAUUAACUAAAACUUUACAAAAUAAGAAAACAUAACACUUGAGAAAUUUGGAGGAAAGCAUGGUUGAGAUUCAUAGUUUCAUUUAACCUUUGAUUAAUUAAUUUCUCCACAAGCCAAUUAAUAAAUUACUUAUUUACGAUAUUAAACCCGGAUUUUCAAUUCAAACCCUAAUUAAUUGGUUUAACCUACUAUAUCUCUAUAUCGAUUAAAACUGAACAAUUACAUUAAUUUUUUGUGAAAAUAGCACAAUAGGUUGUUUACGUUUAGGGGAAUAACUUUAUCCCCUACACAAACCUAGGUUUUUACUAUUAGUCUAAAAUGCACAAUCUUCUCUAAAAUAAUGUAUAAGUUACGAAACAUAAUCAUUCAUUGACCACAUAAAUGAAAUGCAAUAAGAACAAUAGUAAAAAUACAUGAAAAUAAGUAAUUUAACAUUAAAAAGAAAAUAUUAAAAUCAAUUAAAGUUAGAUUAGGUUUAACCAUAAAUCCCGAUAUUCUUUUUCCUAGAUUGUGAAUUACAACCUAAGUAUUGUACAAACACAUGUUUGGAAGAUGAUUUCUUUUAUAGCCCUAUUUGAGCCUCAUUAUUUUUAUAAGUAACCAAGCCCACCAUUUAAAGAAUACGUGUCAAAUGGGGCCAUGGUUUGUAAGUAACUCAAUGAACGUCAGAUCUCUACUAAAAAGUAACUAGGCCCGCCAUUUAUUCUGCUUUUUAAAAAGCAACUUUUAGACCAAGCAAUUUAUCAAUCAAGUUCAAUCUCCAUGAUGUGCAUAAAAUGUGUUCUCCUUUUCAAUAAAAUGAACUUGACAGCCGUAAAAAGACUAAGAUUUUAUCUAUACUAAUGUUGAGUCCUACGUAUUUAACACGAGUUCAGGAGGGCAACGUGCCUCAAAGUAAAAGCCCAACAUUUAAGGGGGUGUCCUCAAUCUAGAGUUUGAAGGAUUUUAAAACUCCAUAUAAAUUGGGGUCUCCUCAAUUUAGGUUAAAAUUUAAUUCAUAAAAAUGUAGGUGUCCUUAAUCUGAAUUUUUAGAAAUACUUAUAAAUUUAGGUGUCAUCAAUAUAAAAUUUAAUAGAUACUUUAGAAUUUUAGGUGUCCUCGAUAACUAAUUGAUUUAAAAGGAUUUCAUUAAUUAAAUAGAUUUUGAAAGAUUUCAAGCCAUAAAUAUAAUUACCAAAAAUCCGUAACAAUUUUAUCUCAAACUUAAAAAUUUCACAAUUUUUCUCACCUCUCUAAUGAUUUCUCUCUCUCUCUCUCUCUCUCUCUCUUACCUAAUGUGAACAGUUUUUCUUCUUCUCCCUCUAAUUUCCCACAAUUCUGAUUUUUUUCUUAUUGAAAAGAUACUACUGAUUUUUUUCUUCUCUCACAUUCAGUUGAAUAUGUGGGUAAAACCAAAUUUUUUUUAAUAGAAAAUUUGUAAUGAUCCAUUACAUAAUAUUUAUGAACUAAACUUAAAGUCAUGAUAAUCUUGAAAAGAGCAUAUGGACUCCCCAUUUUUCUUGAAUCCUACUACGUCUGGAUUUUGAGUAAGUCAUGAUUCGAGCAGAUCAAAAAAGAACAACAGAAAUUUGAGCCAAAUCCACUAAAAUCUAUAAAAAUCCACGAAAAUCUAUUAAAAUCUACAAAAUAAAAAUUCAUUCAAAUCUUAUGAAAUCCAUUAAAUUCUAUAAAUACCAUACAACCCAUGGAAAUUUAUAAAUAUUAAGAAAUCUAUUAAACUCUGAAUUGAGGACACCCCCGUUAGUUUUAACAAAUAUAUUCUUAACACCAUAAUAUUUGAAGAGUAUAGUUUUUAAAUUUCUCUUUCUCGGGAAAAACAUGCAUGGUACAAAGUGGAAUAAUUCUUUAUUUAAUUUCUUCAUGAAUUAUAUGUUAGUAGAAGCUAGAUAAGGUCUCCAAAUAGUACUCUUGUAGUGUGGAAGGUUGAACAUGUAGACUAAUUCUCAAUCAAAAGUUUGAGUUCAAGUCUUUUUAUAGUGUUUUAACUCUAAAACAUUUGUCACCUCCUUAAUCAAAAGUUUGAGAUCAAGUCUUUUUAUAAUGUUUUAACCCUAUACAUUUGUCUCCUUAAUCAAAAGUUUGAGUUCAAGCCUUUUUAUAGUGUAUUAACCCUAAGCAUUUUCUUUAAUGCGAAGAAACGUGAUUAUUCUUAGUGUGAUAAUCUAGGGACCAUUCUAUAAUUUUUACACAGCUGCCAUCUGUUGCAUGGUCGUUCCACUUGGCCUUCUCUGAUUGGUCGUUCACUUUUAUUUUUACAAAAGAAAAAAGGGAUUUUAGUACAAUAAAAAAUUUCAAAAGCCAUCGAUAAUUCUUUUGCUGCAACUGUGAUUGAGGAUUAGAAAAAUAAGUUUGAUGAACUUGCUUAUACUUCUAUUAUUUUGUGCUUAUCUGAUAUGAUUUUGCAAAAAGUUGGCAAACAUGACAUUGUUGAAAAACUUUGGAAAAAGCUUGAGGAACUCUAUUUGAUUCAAUCCAUGCCAACAAACUUUUCUUACUUGAAUAUUUUUCAGUUUCAAAUAUGAUCUCUCAAAAGAUUUAGAUGAGAAUCUUGACGUUUUCAAUAAAUUGCUUCAAGAUAUUACAAAUUGUGGUAAAAAGGUUUCUGAUGAAUAUAAAGCUAUUAUUCUUUUGAAUGCAGUUCCUGAUAAUUAUAAGGAUGUCAAGAAUGUAAUCAAAUAUGGAAGGAAGACCCAUUACAUCUAAUAGUCUCAUCGAUUCAGUCAGACUUAGGAGAGGAAGAUGAAAGUUGAAAGAAAUGAGAGAAAAAUAGGAGAUAUUCAACAAAUAAAGGUAGGAUUUAGUUUAGGGAUGGAAAGGGGCAAAAGAGUGAUGACAAGAAAAGUGGAGAGGCGAAUCUAAGUCAAAGGGAAAGGCUAAGGGAAUAAAAUGUUAUGGGUUAUGGUCGUGAGAAAUUAGGGCACUUUACAUAUGACUAUCAAAGAGAAAAAAAAAGUUGAGAGAUUAGAGGGGUGGUAAGCCCAGUGGGGCAAACGUUGUUGUCAAGAGAGAUGAACCUAGUGAGGUUUAUGUGCUCUUAGAUACCGAACAAGUUGAAAUAAAUCGGUCUACAAAAUUCCAUAUGCAUGAGUGGAUUCUUGACUCCGAUAUUUCUUUUCAUGGUACAUCAAAUAUAUUGUGGGUUGAUCAUUUACAUAAAUUUGAUCAUGGACAUAAAAUUGCAUGGGGUGGAGUUGCAUAUAAGAUCACUAGCAUGGAUAGUGUAACUGCCAGAUUUGGCAGUGGUUUUGUGCACAUAUUUGAUAGUGGUUUUGUGCACACACUAAAAUAAGUUAAGUAUAUUCUAGACAUGGGUAGGAGUUUAAUUUUCGUGGGAGAGUUGGAGUGUACAGGUUUCAUUGGUGUUCUCGGCAAUAGAGUACUAAAAAAGUUUAAGGGAGCAUUUAUAGCCUGUAAGGCUACUAGGAACAAUGGCAUUUACAUCACACAUGCUGAAGUGACGGUUGGUUUAAAUUCCACUAUCACUAACACUGAUUCAGAAGUGGCACAAUAGUUUAGCUCACGUUAAUGUUAAAGGACUUAAGUUCCUUAAUGACAAUGUUGUGUUUGGUAAGGAUCAAGUGUCUGACAUACCAUUUUGGUAAACAUCGUAGGAUGUCAUUUGUAAGCAAAUACAGGGCAUCUAGAUUGUUAGAAUACAUUCAUACUGAUUUGUGAGGUCUAGGAAGCAAUCCCACUUUUGUUGUUAACAAAUAUUUUCUAUUUAUUAUUGAUGAUUUUCUUCAGAUGUGUGUGGGUUUAUUUGCUAAAAGAUCAAUUUGAAAUUUUCACUAACUUUAAAAAUUGAAAAGUUAAGAUGGAGAAUCAGAUAGGUAAGAAAGUGAAAUAUUUGCGUUAUCGAUAAUGGUCUCAAGUUUUGCAAUACUAAAUUUGAUAAUUUGUAUAAUAAAUCAGGCAUCACUUGACAUAGGACUGUACCUCACACUCUCUAGUAAAAUAGGGUUGUUGAAAUGAUGAAUUGUACUUUGCUUGAUAAAAUUAGAUGUGUGAUGUUAAGUUCUGGUACGUCUAACUCUUUUUGAGGUGAAGCUAUUUUGACUGCAUCUUAUUUGACUAAUAUAACUCAUUCCAAAACUUUAAAUGGUGAUACUCCAUACGAGAUUUGGUACGGUAAAUGUGUUGAUUAUUCUAUACUUAAGAUCUUUGGUUGUGCUACUUUCUCUCAUUAAAGUGAGGAAAAACUACAACCUAUAGGUAAGAUGUAUGUCUUCCUAGGCUAUCUUGAGGAAGUUAAGGGAUAUAGGUUAUUAGAUAGAAGAUAGAAAUGAGUGAGAAUAAUCAUAAGUCGCGAUGUAAAGAAAGUGAGGAAUAGUAAGGAACUAUUAGGGAAGAAUUCCGUAUUGAGGUGGAGUGCAUGAUUAUUCACAUCUCCAUCAUCUUGAGCGAGGUGGAGAGUAAUACACAAAAUUUACAGAACAUAGAGUUAGAAGAUGAUGAUGAAGUUGUUAUGGACAACCUUAUCGACUAAAACCCUUUAACUAAUUAUCGGUUAGCUAAAGAUAGAGAGAGGAGACUAUAUAGAGAACCUCAAUGGAUGUCUGACUAUAUCGUAGCCUAUACAAUUAUCAUGAAAUAAUAGGUAAGGAGCCUUACACUAAUGAGAAGUGGCUAAGUGCCAUGAGAGAAGAGAUGAGCUCUCUUACUAAGAAUCAAACUUGGGAUUUAGUUCCUAGACCUAAGGAUAAAUUCGUAGUUGAACGCAAAUGGGUUUAUCAGAUUAAGGAGAGAACCACUAAGAGUAAGCCCAUGAGAUACAAGGCUAGAUUAGUAGUCAAGGGGUACAUGCAGAAGGAAGGGAUAGAUUGUAAUGAGAUCCUUUUGCAAUUGUCAAGGAUACCACUAUUAGGAUUAUGGUUGCUUUUUUUGCUUAUUAUGAUUGAGAACUUGAACAACUAGAUGUCAAAACUAUUUUUUUACAUGGUGAUCUUGCUAAAAAGAUUUUUAUGAAUUAGCCCAAAGGUUUUGAAAGUAAGUCUAAAUCUGAGAAUGUGUGUUUUUUAAAGAAAUUCUUUAAGGCUAAAAUUGUCUUCGCGUCAUUGGUAUAAAAAGUUUGAUUCUUAUAUGUUGUCUGUUGGUUUUAAGAGGAGUGAGUUUGACCAUUACUUGUAUUACCUACACCACAGCACUAAUAAAAGUGUGUAUUAGUUACUUUAUAUGGACAUGUUGUCAAUUGGACCUAACAUGAAGGUGGUAAACAAGAUUAAAAUGGACUUAGGAAAAGAAUUUGACGUGAAAAGAUUUAGGACAUGCUAGGAGGAUCCUUGAUACAGAGAUUAAUAGGGAUAAGUCUAAUUCUUAUCUAUGUGCAUCAAACUCCUUACAUGCUUAAAGUUUUGAAGAAAUUUGUAUGCUUGAUUACAAACUUGCUUCUGUACCUCUAGGAAGCCAUGUUAUUUUAUCAAAAGAACAAUCAUAUGCUGAUGAUAAAGAAAGAGAAUUUAUGAAUAAUAUUCCUUAGUCAAAUAUCAUUAGUUUUGUCAUGCACUUUAUUGUUGGCACUAGACCAGAAUUGGCUUUUACUAUUAGUGGGUUAAGUAAGUAUAUGUCUAAUCCUAGUCCCAAAUAUCGGAAACCAUUAUAGUGGUUACUUAGAUACAUGAAGGGUACCUUAAUUGAGGAUCAAUUUAUAAAUCUGCUAAUGAGGGUUUGAUACAGAUAGUCACUAUAGUAAUGAUAGAGAUAAUAAGAAACCUACUUUCUCUUUUAUGUUUACUUUGUAUAACUCUUGUGUGGUUGGAAGUCUCAACUUCAACAUAUAGUUGUUUUAUCUACCACUGAAUAUGAGUAUAUUGUUGCUAUAGAAGCUUCAAAGAAGUGUUGUGAUUUAUAGGUUUACUUAAUGAACUAGGUAUUUUAAGUACAAUGUGAUAGUAUACUUCGAUAGUUAUUUGCUAUUCAUCUGUGUAAAAAUCAUAUGUUUCAUUAAUGCACUAAACAUAUUGAUAUUAGGCUGCAUUUUAUUAGAGAUGAAGUGUCUUAAAAUUUAAUAAAACUUGAGAAACUAUAUUCAAAUUAUAACCCUAUACAUAUGAGCACUAUGGUACUUACAGUUAGUAAAGUUUAGAAGUUCACAUGCACUUUCUAAACAUUUGUAAAAGUAUGUGAUGUUUCAAUUUAAUUUGAAAUCACGUUAUGCGACUACUAAACUGGUUUUUUUCUCUUUUGCAGGUUUAUUUGGCCCAAGCGAAGGUUUGAUAGGUAUUUAGAUACAAAAUAAAUUUGGGGGAUGACGAAUUUGUCGGAUUGGAUUAAAAUCAUAUAGUUAGUUUGGAACCUAUUAUUGAGAUUAUUUAAAUGGUCAACCCAAUAACACACAAAUGGCAACCGACAAAAGAAGUUAGACCGAGUAUUACAUUUAGGGUCCUACCCAUAUACUUGACCUAAAGUAUAUUGUAUAUAUUUGGACCCUUUGAGGUAUUAUAAUACAUACACAAAGUUAGACCAGAAUUGGCUUUUACUAUUAGUGGGUUAAGUAAGUAUAUGUCUAAUCCUAGUCCCAAAUAUUGGAAACCAUUAUAGUGGUUACUUAGAUACAUGAAGGGUACCUUAAUUGAGGAUCAAUUUAUAAAUCUGCUAAUGAGGGUUUGAUACAGAUAGUCACUAUAGUAAUGAUAGAGAUAAUAAGAAACCUACUUUCUCUUUUAUGUUUACUUUGUAUAACUCUUGUGUGGUUGGAAGUCUCAACUUCAACAUAUAGUUGUUUUAUCUACCACUGAAUAUGAGUAUAUUGUUGCUAUAGAAGCUUCAAAGAAGUGUUGUGAUUUAUAGGUUUACUUAAUGAACUAGGUAUUUUAAGUACAAUGUGAUAGUAUACUUCGAUAGUUAUUUGCUAUUCAUCUGUGUAAAAAUCAUAUGUUUCAUUAAUGCACUAAACAUAUUGAUAUUAGGCUGCAUUUUAUUAGAGAUGAAGUGUCUUAAAAUUUAAUAAAACUUGAGAAACUAUAUUCAAAUUAUAACCCUAUACAUAUGAGCACUAUGGUACUUACAGUUAGUAAAGUUUAGAAGUUCACAUGCACUUUCUAAACAUUUGUAAAAGUAUGUGAUGUUUCAAUUUAAUUUGAAAUCACGUUAUGCGACUACUAAACUGGUUUUUUUCUCUUUUGCAGGUUUAUUUGGCCCAAGCGAAGGUUUGAUAGGUAUUUAGAUACAAAAUAAAUUUGGGGGAUGACGAAUUUGUCGGAUUGGAUUAAAAUCAUAUAGUUAGUUUGGAACCUAUUAUUGAGAUUAUUUAAAUGGUCAACCCAAUAACACACAAAUGGCAACCGACAAAAGAAGUUAGACCGAGUAUUACAUUUAGGGUCCUACCCAUAUACUUGACCUAAAGUAUAUUGUAUAUAUUUGGGCCCUUUGAGGUAUUAUAAUACAUACACAAAGUUUUAACACUUUAGCCUCCUUUUUUGUGAGACCUUUCGGCUUCUUCUUCUAUGUGACUUUGCUACUUCCUUCGUGUGACCUUUUGUAGCUUACCCAAAUGGCACCUUGGCUGGCGACUUAGCUAUUCGGUUUGCCUUCUCGUUGCUUCGAUUUUUUUCCCUACUUCACUAUCGCCUUGCUACCUCUGUGUAUGGCUAUCUCUGCGUGAUUCCUUAAGUGGUUUCCUUUGUGGUUUUGAGCAUGAUUCUUGGUUCCUUCUAUUGAAGCUACUUUCUGUAUUAUUAGGUUAUUGAUCUAAGCACUGUUCAAUCCAUUUUUGGUGCCAAUGUUUGUGAUAAUUGAAAGGGAAGUGUUUAUCUUUAAUUCACAAUAUUAAUUCCGUUAUUAUUAUUGAUUUGGAACUCGUUUUGUGUUUGUUUGAUCAAUAAAAAGGUUAUAUUUACUUCACAAUUAGGCUGCCAAAAAUGCGAGUGAUGCAAAAGGUGUAAAGCUAAGGCCUUUCUGUCCUCCCCUCUCUAACAUUUGUUUUUUCUAUAACAAGCCCAAUAGUUUAAUUGCUAAAAUGCCUUCCAUUGCCACUCCCGCCAUCCUUAGUCCCUACAAAACCCCAAAAAGCUCAUCUCCUCUGUCUAUCCACCAAACCCAAACUCUUAAAGUUGAACAAAAUAAUCCCCUACUCAAUACUUAAAAGAAGGAAAAAUUUCUUGCAUGGUUCAAUAAAGCUAGAAAAACUUGCAACUGCUUAUGGACAUUGUCCAUCAAUUACGAAGAAUAAUCAUUUGAAAAUUUCACGAGAGAACGGAGUCGUCGAAAUCAAGUCUAAAGUAAAAACUAAAUUUUUUUUCCAUUUUAUCCAAUUCUUGAAAAUCCAUUCAAAUUAAAGUUGUCAACUCCUUGCUGAAAGUGUUAAACCCAAAUUGUGCAUGAUCAAAGAGUAUAACAGUGAAGAAAAUUAUUUAUAGGAAGUGAAUGGAAUUUAAAUAGUGUUACCCACUCAUAAUUUCAAAACUACUACAUAGACUAUAGCUAGCCAAGAUAUUUUCAAGAAAAUAAAACUCAUCAGAUGAUAAAUACAUGAUAAUGUAGAUAGUUUUAUGCAACCUCAAUUUAUAUUGUUAGGAUUCUGAUGUAUUGGCGAUUUUUUAGACAAAUGGGUUAAUGUAAAAAAGUUGUAAAAUUUAAAACAUCUUUUGGAGUUAGUAGUAUAGUCCUUGAAGGAGUUCAAAAUGUCCAAGAAGAUCACAUAUGAUCAUUGAAAUGCAAUUAGAAGUCUAAAGGAUAUCAAAGAGCCACACAAGUUAUAUUCUAAAUUCUCAAUUGUAAAUUGCAACGCAUUUUUUGCAUAGAACACAUUGGAAUUUAGACAAGACUAUUUCUAGAAGAUUUGUAUCCCUUUGAGUGAGCUUUUCAACACAUUUUAAAUUACCUCAAUUGGAUGUCGGAAGAUAAAGUUAUGAUGAAAAUACUGACAAUUGUUCAGCUGUCUCUAACUACUCCCUCAAGCGACAUUUGUAUUCGACCAAACUCUAGGUCACUAUUUAAAGAGUUCUACACGGCCCACAACACCUAUUUAUCCCCAUCUAUAAAUACCAGAAUCAUGGACGAAAAUUCUAGGGUUGCUCAUUGUGCUUUCACAUCUAUAACACUUUCAUAUCAUUGUUCAAAAGAUCUAAUGUGCAAUUCAUUAGUAAAUCCAUCAUAUUCAUUCUUGUGAUCUGGUAACCAAGUUUUGGAAAAACAUCACAUCUUUGUAAUCCAAAACACUUAGCCUCAUUAAUUCAUUAAGAAAGGGGUUUCUCAUUUGGAGAUUGAGAGAGGUGCAUUAAAGCGUAGUUACAAGCACAAGACCAUGCGGUUCUUGGCGUUCAACUUGGAGAGACAUUUAGCAUAAGACCAGGAGACCAUAGGAGACAGCAGAUUAUGCUACAGGAGAUAGAUCGGGAAGUCUAGCAGGAGGCUAGAGGCAUCUACGAUAACAAGAGUCUACAGGAGGUAGAUCAAGAGGUCUAGCAGACUAGAGGUAUCUACGACAGCAGAUCCUGAGACUGUGACAGCGGGUCUUAAUGGAUAUAAAAGUUGGAAUUGCUGUGUAUUCCCUGAACUGUCUAUAGUGGAGGUAAUUAAUUUGGUCUCGGAGUUUUUCCCACGUUGGGUUUCUUCGUCAUCAAAUUUUAUGUUAUUUACUAUCCAACAAUUUAUUACAAACUGUGGUAUUCACACAUAGGGUUAAUUGAAUUGUAUGCUUAACAAUCUAGAAAUUAACUAAAAGUGAUGUGUUUGCUUUAAUUAGUCAAUUCCGCACGUAAGGUCAAAUUAAUCGGUUUUGAAACGUAAACUUGGUAACACUAAAACUUGAAUUGGUGAUCAUAGCGUCCCGUGAACUUGCAAGCAUUAUCACAACAUUCUAGGUGAGACUUUUCAAGUGGUAUCAGAGCCUAAAAAUGUGUCCUGGUCUUACAUUGUCUAGAUGAGUACACUGUUGCAUGUGUCGACCUAUUUUGAUGGUAGUAAUUAUGCCUACUGGAAGGUUAGGAUGAUGGCAUUCUUGAAAUCUAUGGAUGAAAGAAUUUAGUUGAACAUGGUUAACGAUUGGUCUGUCCCUAGUACAACGGUUGACAAUGUCAUUACUCCUACCUCCAUAGAAAAUUGGUCUAAGGCUGAACGAGAUAGGUACAAUUGGAAUAACAAAGCCCUUCUUGUCCUCUUAAUUGCUAUUUCUUUUGAGAAAUUUAGGAGUGUGUCCAUGUGUGAGGUAGCGAUAGAAGUUUUGAAUAUUUUAGAAACCACACAUGAUGAGGGAACACAUGUGGUUAAGAAUUCGAAAUUACAGAUGCUGGCUACUAGGUUUAAAGAGAUUAAGAUCAAAGAGGAUGAGACCUUUGCUGUAUUCUACGCGAGCCUAAAUGACAUUGUGAAUUCAUCUUUCAACAUAGGUGAGAAAAUCCCCGAGCCUAAGAUAGUGAGAAAAAUCCUUAGAUCCUUACUCGAGCGUUUUUGGCCUAAAGUCACGGCAAUUGAGGAAAAUAAGGACAUAGACACUAUCAACCUAAAAGAGUUAGUUGAAUCCAUCCAGACCUAUAAGCAGACCGUAGGUAACCUAUCUGAGAAAAAGUCCUUGGCCUUGAAAUCUACUAGGAUUAAUCGAACCGAAUCUUAUGACUCAGAUUCACCUAAUGAUUAGAAGAUUGCCUACCUAGCUAAAGAGACUGAGAGGUGGCGCUAGUGAAUCUAGGAGAAGAUCCAAAUAUGUGAAGUGCCAUAACUGUCAAGGUGUAGGUCAUGUUAAGAAAGAGUGUCCUAGUGCUAGAAGAGUCAAAGAGAAGGCAAUAAAUACUACUCUCACUGAUGACGAGUCUAACUCAGACAAUUAGAGUGAGAAAUCCACUCGUGAGAAAAGUGGAAAUUAUGUUGCCUUCGUUGCUAAGAGUAAGAGUGGAUUCGAACAAGGAAAUGAAAGAGAUCAGGAAUAGAUAAUGGUGAGGAUUUUGGUGAUGACUCUGUGAGUGAGGAAGAUAUUGAAGAGGCCCAUGAGAAAAUGUAUCAAGAGAGCCUGAAAAUUAUCAGUAAAAAUAAAGCUUUAAGUACGACUGUUCAGGAGCUACAAUUGGAGUAAGUUAAGUUUGAAGCAUAUGUUAAGGAAUCUUCCACUGUCCUGAGUGAGCUUAAGUCAAUAAAUGAAGCUAUAGAGUCUCAGGUUGAAAAUCUCACCAAUGAGCUUGAGAGGUCCUCUAGAAAAGUCAGCAAGUUGAUUGCCAUGAAUGAGACUAUAGACAUUCAGGUGUGAACCUUGUGAGUGAAUUAUAGCAUUCUAAGUCUCAACUUCUUGCCUUCACCAGUGGGUCGUCAAAGUUAUAUAACAUGCUAGGUAUAGGCAAGCCAACUGGAAACAGGGGAGGUCUAGGAUAUAACGAAAAAUAUCAUAAUGUUGCUAGCAUGUUUAAGACCACAUUUGUCUCUGCCAAAGACUAGCCUAAACAUGUGCCUAACCCGUUUACAUCAACAUUCACAUAAUACCUAAGGAAAAGGAAUUUGUAGGAUAGAGGUAUACCAGACAGCUAGGACCCGUUUACGUCAGCAUUCACAUAAUACAGGUCCUAAGUAUAUCCCUACAUGCUAUCAUUGUGGUGAGUUAGGUCAUAUCCGUCCUAGAUGUCAUUAGUACCUAAACAAAAGGAAAAACAUAAACUUAAAAAAGAACAAGAAUUAGGUGUCUAUUGAUCAGAUUGGAUUUUUUACUGAUCAAGUGAAUUGUUUGACCAAAUUGGUGACAUAACACUCUGGAAACUGUUCUCCCACCAGGCAAGUUUGGAUGAAGAAGAGUGAUCUACCAAAUCUGGUAGUAGAUCACGGUGCUCUUAAGUGAAAAGGGCACUCAUAUACCUAGAUAAUUAGGUACUUUUUAUGCAUGCUUAUUCUUAACUGUCAUAUUAUAUGUGCAUGCAUUAUUUGUAUGUUUUUAUUUCUCUUUUUCUUUAUUUUUGGUUUUAUGCAUGUGCAUUUAUAUUGGUUUGCUUUGACGCAUGCAUAUUUUAUGUUUAUUUUGUAUGCUUGACUUUAUAUUUUCUCUUUUUUGUGUGAGCAUUCAUUCUUGGAAAAAUGAAAAAUACAAAAAAAAUAAUAAUAAAUAAUAAUAAAUAAAUAAAUUGAAAAUUUGAAAAACACAAAAAUAGUUGGUUAUGGAAUACUUCUACAGUAUAACAUAUGUUUCUUGAAUUUGCAUGUUGUGAUCAUGUAUGAGCUGAAUUGAUAAGCUACAGAAUAAUUUUCAUUACUUGUUUAGGUCACUUUAGAUUACUUAGUGUAGGUUUCUUCAUGUAUCAUCUGCACUGAACACACUAUGAAUUUGUUAGUGGGACGCUACUGCGUAUGUUAGAUUUGGGAUGACUGUCACAUGUUAAUAGGGUGAUUUCAAACAUGAAUUGACCUAAUUUAGUAGACCUAAUCCCAAAAAUAUUCUCCCAUGUAAAAGCUCAUUAUCUUAAUUCUCUUCUUCGAGGCCUAUUUGACUCGAGCAAUUAAGCAUGCGGGGUCUCUUAAAACUUGGUGCCUAUAGUCAACUGACUUGGGUUAAUCGACCUAAAGUUCGUUAUAAGGGCCAUCUCAGUCGCCUAAUGGAGAAGAAUCCACACUUAAGAUGAAUAAUAAAUGAGCUUGAAAAAUGUGAAAAAUAUGAAGAGCUGAAAAAAUAUGGAAAAUUGAAAAAUAUAAAUACUCAAAGUAAGGAAGAGAAAAAUAAUAAAUAUAGGUCAUACUGUACUUUCAUGUUUUGACUUUCAUUAGUAGGGAAAUAUACUUAUUGGCAGUAAUUGGCAUGUCAUUUCUUACAAAAUUAAGAUUUGGAGUCUUGCUUGCAUUGUAUUAGUGACAUUUUACACCCAAUAAGUCACUUGUAUUAUUUGCUCCAUUCUGAUCUGAGCUAUGUAUGUGAGGAGGUUUAUAGUCUAUCGAUUUUACUUGUGCUUGCUAUCAAUGCAUUUUUAAGUUAUUAUAUGUUAUUGCUCUGUUUGAUUUUGAUAGUAUUCAUUUCAGCAUUUGUGACAAAAAGGAGGAGAGAAAUAUAAGUUGAGGGGGAGCAUAGAGUGAUUUACGUACACUGUUUUCACUAUUUGAUUGAUUAACACUUUGCAUUUUGCAUUGCACUAUCUAGGGGUCGUUGGGGAGAGAAAUAGAUACAUUUUGAUACUGCAUAAAAAUGUUGAGAGUUUGCAGUAAGGGGAAGAAUUUGCAUUGCAUUGUGUUCCAUAUCAUAAUGCACAACUGUUUAAGUUUUGAUGUUUUGUGAUGUUAAUUUUUCAGUUGGUGUUUUGAUUGACAUUAAUAUCACGUCUCAAACUAGCACGCUUAUUUAUGAUUAUAAACUUCAAUUGUUACAUUUCUUGUAUCACUGCUUUUAAACUGGGUAUUUGAGUUUUUGAUUUCAGAGGACAAGUUUAACAAGGAAUGCAAGAAACGAUAUUUGGGUAGAUUAGAUUUUUGCUUUUACUAUCUUGACUUUAUUGUAUAGUUUUAUCACAGAAUGCCAAAAGGGGAUAUUGUUAGGUUUCUAGUGUAUUGGCAAUUUUUUAGACAAAUAGAUGAAUGUAAAAGAGUUGUAAAAGUGAAAAAACCUUUUGGAGUCGAUAGUAUAAUCCUUGAAGGAGUUCAAGCUGUCCAACAAGAUUACAUAUGAUCACUGGAAUGCAAUUAGAAGUCUAAAGGAUAUCAAAGAGCUCACAAGUUAUGUUUCAAAUUCUCAGUUAUAACUUGCAACGCAUUUUUCACAUAGAAAAUAUUUGAAUUUGGACAAAUAGAAUAUUUGUAACCCUUUGAGUAAGCUUUCCAACACAUUUUGAAUCACCUCAUUUGGACAUUGAAAGAUAAAGUUAUGAUGAAAAUACUAACGAUUGCUCAGCUGUUGCUUGCUUGUCGCUAGCUAUUCGCUCGAGCGAAAUUUAUAUCCGACCAAACCCUAGAUCACAAUUUGAAGAGUUUUACACGGCUCAUGACACCUAUUUGCCCCCAUUUAUAAAUAACAAAGUCAUGGACGAAAAUUCUAAGGUUGCUCAUUGUGCUUUCACAUAUAUAACACUUUCAUAUCAUUGUUCAAGAGAUCCAAGGUGCAAUUCAUUAGAGAAUCUAUCAUAUUCAUUCUUGUGAUCCGACAACCAAGUUUUGGAAAAGCAUCACAUCUUUGUAAUCUAAAAUACCCGACUUCUUUAAUUCAUUGAGGAAGGGACUCUCUCAUAGGGGGAUUGAUGAAGGUGGAUUGAAGCACAAUUACAAGUACAAGAACAGGCAGUUCUUGGUGUUCCACUUGGAGAGACAUUUAGCAUAAGACAAGGAGGCAUAGGAAACAAUAGAUUAGGCUGCAAGAGGUAGAUCAGAAAGUCUAGUAGGAGGCUAGAGGCAUCUACGAUAGUAGGAGGCUAUAAGAGAUAUAUCAAUAGGUCUAGUAGGCUAGAGGUAUUUAUGGCAGUAGAUCGUGAGACAAUGAUAGCAGGUCUUAGUAGAUAGAAGAGUUGGAAUUGCUGUGUAUUCCUUGAAUUGGCUUGGUUCCAGAGUUUUUCCCACGUUAGGUUUCUCCGUCUCCAAAUUUUAUGUUCUUUACUUUUCAGUAAUUUAUUACAAACUGUGGUAUUCAAACAUAGGGUUAAUUGAAUUAUAUGCUUAAUCAUCUAGAAACUGAUUAAAAGUGACGUCUUUGCUUUAAUUAGUCAAUUUUGUAUGUAAGGUCGAACUAAUUGGUAAUCUAGAACGUAAACUUGGUAACACUAAAAUUUGAAUUGUUGAUCACAGCGUCUCGCGAACUUUCAAGGGUUAUCACAGCGUUCUAGGCGAGACUUUUUACCCAUGGUUAUGUUACAGAUGAAGAAACUAAAAUAAGAUAAAAUUGUAAACUAACGUAAAACAAUAUCACUAAUCUUACAAGUCCAAUGUAAGCAAAUAUACACAUAAUAGGUUCGUUUUGAUGUAAGCGAUUGACCAUAAAAGCAACCUUGUCCAUCUUUCUUUCCAUGUCUAUGGUAAUCUUUCAGGCAAACACAUAUGUACCCUUCAUGGCAUUCACACAUUUCUUUUAACAUUUAAUGAGACUUGGAUCUUGGCAUUCAACAAUUUCUGCAAAAACAAAUUGGAAAUCAUAUAAAAAAGAAUGCUCAUCGUCAUCAAGCGCUUGCAGCCCGGCUAGAAAAUUAUGAAAGGAAUUAUUUUUUUCUAAUAACAAAUCAUAAUCAUCUAGAUGAUUAGAUGAAAAAGUAUUAUACAUGCCUUUGAAGAUUGUACCUUGAUAAUCAUUAGGGAGCUAUGGAUAUUUCUGAUAAACCUAUGAACAUAAGCAACCAUAGCCAUAACUAUAAUCAUAACCAUUAUCAGGUUUGUAAUACUUGGGAUUUGUGGGUGGAAUGUCUUCUGCAAUAACUUGAACAACAAAAACUUAUUGAUUCCAAGACAAGUUAUUAUGUUGUCUUCCUUAGGACAAAAUUUAUCCCUAAACAAAUAUGAAUGCACUUGGGAAACCAAAUAUAUCCUCCAAGUUAUAAUGGAAUAUCUUGAAAUUUUGUUGGCGUCUAUGCAGUUAGCGACAACAUCUGGAGCACCAGGAACUCAAUAAAAAAAUUCAGGAGAGUUUAUAUUCCAUUUCUAUUACACAAUAUAAACUUUGAAUUUUAUAUACAAAAGAAAGUCCAAGGCAUGCAAAUAUAGAAGAUGGAAGAGAGAAACAAAAACGAUAUUUUAUCACUUUUCACAUCAAAGAAAACUUGAAUCUAUAUAUAGAUUCUUGUUUUCCAUAAAGUUUAAAACAUUGAUAAAUUUCUAUUUAAAUCUGAAUUUCUUCAAGCGAAACUGAAAAAAUUUGAAUCAGACACAGUUUCUCAGUUAGACAGAUUGCUGGUGUGGAUGUGCUGGCAUGCUUUGUAAGCUGGCCAAAUUUCUGGCCAGUUUCUUCAUAUCCCAUCUAAUCCAUUCACCAAUUCAAGGCUCUUGACAUUAUUUUCAUCUUCCAUUUAAUAUUUAAGAAAAGAAAGAAAUCUCUCUAAAUGAACCACCAACACGUUGUUGAGCACGGAAGCUCCAAUAACAUACAUUGAUUCCAAACCAAAUUUUAAAGAACGAAAUUAUAUGACAAUAUUGAAGUAAAUAAGAUCACACCAUGAAACAAGGUUUAUAUUGUAAAGAGGAACAAAAGAAUUAACGCAGAGGAACUAUGUUUAUUAAAUCAACAAUAUGGAGAAUACAAAACAAUCUAGCAAUUGGCUUCUAUCUAUUACACCUAAUAAAACUGACAGAGAAGCCUUGUAUUUAUACGUCAACCCUAAAACAGUCCUAAAAGAGAAAAAUAUAUUACAAUUAGGAGACCCAAUUUCAUAGGAUUUUAUUUCUUUUUGUUGGAUAUAAUUAGAUUCCAUUUCCAAGUAAAAGUCUAACACGCAUCUUCAAAAAACUCCUAACCAAUUUCUAGGAUUCCACUUGAUCAAAUUCUAAAUCAACAAUAAUCCCAACACAUUUAAGUCACCAAACCUAACAAUCUAUACCUUGACUCAAAUUCCGGUAAUACGAACGAAACUCCUAGAUUUCAAAUCUAUUUGCAUCAAAAUUAACUGGCAUAAUCUCCUCAACAUAGUAACCACUCUAUAUAAACCAAACACUCGUCAUCUGCCCCGACGUCCACAAUCGACACACGAACCCAAAUCCAAGGUUCCCAAAAUUCCUCCAAGGAAUUAAUGUUGAUCACACAGGGUCAAAGCACACCCUAUAACAAGAACCAAAUCAAACGCUUGAUCAGAAGGCCCUCUGCUGGAACUAUUGCCUUCAACAUCUUCAUAAGCAUCCCAGACAUUGCUGACACCAUGGUUCCUACGCUCGAUGAGUCCUACCCCAACACCUGAACACAGUGUACCCACUGGAAUUAGUAGCAAGUGGGAUCACCAACGGUCUCCCUAACAAUGUUCUUAACUGACUCAAAGCCCAACCCAAGAGAUACUGUACCAAACUGAACUUCCACCACGGUACUAAACUUGUCCAAAUGUCUCCUAACAGAUUCUGCAUUCCCCUACAAAAUUUACAACUAGGAUCUCCUCCGUCCCUCCAGUACAAUUCGGACUCCCUUUCAAACCUUCAAGACUCCACUUCCUCUAGAGAAUUUUUACCCUUUUGCAUCCAGGGUAUUUAGUGAAAUGAGAUUCCUUUUCAAGUAAGGAACAUGUCGAACUUGAGAUUCCUUCAAUCUGACUCGAUUGAUCCUAGCAAUAACUCCACCUUAUGGAGCAGCCUAAUAUGUCUGAAAUAAAUUCCUAUCAUAACACAUAUGGUGCCAAUAUGGUGAAUCAAGAAUCCACUCCUCGUCAGGCCUAAAUUCCACGACAGAUACCACGGUCAACAUCACCUCUUCGCUAUCUGAACAAUUUUUAACUACAUUGGUUUCAUCUGAAUUCAAGGGUUGUGUUCCACGAUUUACAGCUAAAUUACCUUUAGCCUACAACAUAUCGCAAUUCUUUCGAAUAUUCCAUUUCUUUUACAGUAGUAACGGGUCACAUUGCUAAAUUUGACUCUCGAUCUGCCCCUUCGUCGACCACCUUGAGAUGCAAGAGCUUCUAUAUCCCCUGAUGCAGCUCCAACCAAAUGCUUCAUCUUCUUCUUUUAAUGCAAAGUAUCAUAGACAUCUUCUGUAGUCAAAGUAUCUUGACUAUACAAGAUAGUAUCCCGAAACUAUGCAUAAGACCCAGGCAGUGAACACAAUAGGAUCAAGGCAAGAUCUUCUUCAUCGUACUUAACCUCCAAUGUCUCCAGGUCUGCAACUAUUUCUUUGAACACGGCAACAUAGUCUUCCAACAACUCUUCUUCCCCCAUACGAUGUAAAUACAGCUUCUGCCUAAGAGCCAGUUUAUUUGCUCUCUUAAUCAUACACAACUGCUCCAACAUCAACCACAACGCAGCUACCGUCAGAAUGUUGUUGGAAAGAUGAAAAUGAAUCAAUGACGUAGCCUUUCGAUCCUUCCUUUGUUUCUCCUUCAUUGUCUAUCCAGCUGACAUCCUCUCAAAACCCAAUAACGCAUUUUCCAAUAUCCAACUGCGCCAAAACAGCCUUCAUCUUUACUGCCACAAGGAAAACCUUAUAUUGUGAUCUAAUUGCGGAAUAUCAUACUUCAACCCAGCCACCCCAAAAGAAUCUCAACCAAUCGACAGAAAAUCAAUAGCUUAGCUCUGAUACCACUUGUUGGGCAUGGAAGCUCCAAUAACACACGAUAAUUCCAAACCAGAUUUUAAAGAACAAUAUUAUAUGACAAUAUUGAAGUAAAUAAGAUCACACCACGAAACAAGGUUGAAAUUGUAAAGAGGAAUAAAAAGAUUAACGCGGAGGAAAGAUGUUCAUUGAAUUAACAAUAUGGAGAAUACAAAGCAAUCCAGCAAUUGGCUUCUAUCUGUUGCACCUAAUAAAACUAACAGAGGAGCAUUAUAUUUAUAGGCCAACCCUAGAAGAGCCCUAAAAGGUAAGAAAAUAUAUUACAAUUAGGAGACCCAAUUUUAACAGGAUUUUAUUUCCUUUUGUUGGAUGCAAUUAGAUUCCCUUUCCAAGUAAAAGUCUAGCAAGCAUCUUCAACUCCUAACCAAUUUCUAGGAUUCCACUCGAUCAAAUUCUAAAUCAACAAUAAUCCUAAAACAUUUGUGUCACCAAACCUAACACAUGUUCCAUUCCCAGUUGCCCGAUCAACCACCAUAGGAAGCUUAUCUACAUUCCUCAUGCCGGAAAGAAUGCUCAGAGAAAAUGUGAAUUCACAUUACUCAGAAAGAAAACAUAGGAACAUGUUGCAACUAUUGAAUUCCCUCACAUUUGUGUGAUUUUCAUAGCUUUUUAAUGUUACUUUCACUCUCUGCACCUCUUUCUUGGAUAGUCGUCUGGCAACAUCCUUAACCAGAAAACAAACCGCCAUCCAAAUCUUUCUCGUUGUUACACAUUGUAGCGGAAAUACCUUGAUAAAUCUUGAUUCUGGACUCAAAAAAAAUCAAACGAACACCGGUUUACCUUGGCUUGACCCAAGACUUUCGCCUUCACUUUAGACAGCAGUUUUUGCCUCUCCGGUGGCUUUCUAUUUAGUGUCCACAAAGGACACGCAGUGGUGACUACAAUGGAAGAAAUAAUGGACAACGAUGGUGGAAAAUCUCUCUCCCUUUUUCCCCAAGACCGGCUGCCCUCUUUCACUCACCAUUGCACGUUCAAUCACCCACACUGAAAAUUGCUCGAAUAGAUGGAUAUAAAUAGGUAUAGUUUAGGUCACUCCAAUUGGGCCUAGGGUUCACUAAGUGGGCUACUAAUUAACUUAAACUAAUGGGCCAAUUUUCAACUCCAUAUUAAUCACUAAAUGGUCCAACUAACCAAAUAAUUAUCCAACCCAAACCCAAGCCGUCCAAAAGUGUAGUUCGUCUCCGAGCCGAGCUAAGUCCACGGUGUUGAUAAAUAAUUCGACAACUAUUUUAAAUCAUCGCCCAAAUUAUUGGGUAUCAAAAAACCUAACAAUCUCUACCUUGAUGUCCAAUAAUCUGCAACCAACCAAAAUACACAGUUUAUACUUGAACAAUCAAGGUAAUCUAAUAAAAUUGGAAUCAUAGACCUUAUCUCGUGUUUCGAACCGAAACACAUACCAUACUUGUUCCAUGUACUCACCAGGGCUAAGGUCAAGAAUACUCAAGUAGAAACAAGUAUUCACAAUGAACAAACAAUCAUGCGAUGAAGAUAUAUAUGAUAACACACACACAGAGAUCUUUUCAAAAUCAUUUUCACAUAGAACCACAGAUUAACACCUAGUUAAUCAAACCACGGUCAACCACAUAUGCAACACAUGCAUAAAUGACCCUAAGAAAAGAUCUUGCCACACUUGUCCUAUUCCAUUCAAUGUUGCUCACACCUCGAGAACACAUAUCUCCUCUCAUCACCCAUCAUGCUCACUAAACAGAUCACUCAACUCAUGUCUAACUGAUAAAUCACAAUAGAUCCUAAGCUCUCGAGAUAAUCCUCUAUCACUACAUCACUUCUCCCAACCUACGUGGAUAAUGGAACUCCACCUUACAGAAGUGAUAGAAGUGCCUCUCUCACACUCCACCUGAUCAGGAUCUCUUUCACAAAUAAAGGAUUCUACACAUUUGAUCACAUCUCCACUCAUGAUCCAAAUGUCACACUCCACAUCCCCCGUGCAGAUCACCAAUGCACCUCUAGGCGUCUAUACUCCACCUUACCAAAAGACAUCCAACUCACUGCUAAUGCAUCACAAACUCACUGCGGCAAAACAGCACCUUUCGAUGACCACAAAGGUUCUCCAAUAACCAAAGCUCCAAAAAUUCACAAAGAAAACGGCGAAGGUGGCACUCACAAAGAAAAAUCGAAGAAAGAGUCGGUUACUUCACAACACUCACAAAGAAGACUCACAAAGAGGAAGAAUAUAACCCUAACAUGGCUGUCUCAUAUAAUCUCACAAUCCAUACAUGCUCACGAAGAUAAAGGAGAGAAAUGGCUGUCCAACUUUUUUCUCACUACCACACUUUCACACCACUCACAGAGCAAAUAGAGUACGCCACAAAACUUAACCCCACUAUGCAUGCAAACACAAUACACAAAAUAAUAAGAUCACACUCAAUUCAUGCAAUUACACACAUCAAACAUAUUGAAAGUGUAACAUCAAUAUUGCAACAAAAUUAAGUGACCACAUACAUGCAGAAAGGAUUACACACUGACGCAAUGCGGUAACCAGGUUUAUUCUCUCAAUAAACCUCACUAGGAUCACUACUCGACCCUAAAGUCACAUUCGCCUCGUCUCUAUCCUCAUCUUUCCUUUUAUCAUCCUAGAACAAUCUCUUUCGACUAUGCCCAAAUUUUAUCACAGUUAAAACAUAUUUUAUUUUUUCGCACUUGCCUUAGACUUAUACAUGUCAAUAAUACCAAAUAAUGACCACAAGCAAAGUAUUGGUGCAUGAUUCACACAGAAUAGUCAAGUAAACUUUCCUAAGGUCAAAUCCAAUUCUAUCGGUGUAAAAAAAAUAAAAAAAUAAAAAAAAUUUGGUGACAAAUUUACAUAGAAUUAAGGCAAUUAAUUAACAUGUAAUUUCUAUGUCUAAAAAUAGGCAAUGAUUACCCCCUUCACGGUAACUCCAAACCUAACGUCACAUCACACAAUGACUUCUAAUGCGCAAAAUAAAUAAUUAACCUAUACAUUAAUUUUAACUGCAAUAAUAAAAGGUAAAGAAUACGAUACCGAGCGGACCACGUCUGAAGGUCCGUAAAUAUCGAGACAUGUGAAUUUACGACUUUAGGAAUAUCACUGUUCAUCCUAAAGUCACCGGCAACCACAGCAAUAUGAAAACAGCACCCGGCGCCCGAACGUCCAAGGGCAAAAUCGUCCAACUUUCAUUGUAUUGCUCCAAACUGAAAUCCGAAAACACAGCAGGGUCCAUCUCAUCUCCGACAACAUUCUGUCUUUUGGAACCCUCACCGGAAUCUCUCUCACGCACCUCCACGCGCCGGUGCCAUAUUCCUCAUGCACCUCCAACACCGGCGUCGGAGACGGCCAUGCGCCACCCUUCCUGAACCGUCUCAAUCUGCACAGUCCAAUGGCGGUGUUCGUUUCUCCAAAUUCUUUUUGAAUUUACCAGAAAACGCCAAAAUAGAUCCGGCAGAAAAUUGAAAAACUAGACAGUUUCUGCCUCUGAUUUCCAGAUCUGUUUCUAACCACUUCUAGCCCAUUUUUAGCCCUAAAAAUCAAAGAUUUAUCAACAACACAAGCUCUGAUACCAUUUGCAGUGAAAAUCCCUCGAUAAAUCUUGAUUUUGGGCUCAGAAAAUAAUCAAACGAACACUGAUUUACCUUGGCUCGACCCAAGACUUUCGCCUUCACUUUGGACAGCCCUUUUUGCCUCUCCAAUGGCUCUCUAUUUAGUGUCCACAAAGAACACGUGGUGGUGACUACAAUGGAAGAAAGAAUGGACAACAAUGGUGGAAAAUCUCUCUCCCUUUUUCCCCAAGACCGGCUGUCCCCUUUCACUCACCAUUGCACAUUCAAUAACCCACACUGAAAACUGCUGGAAUAGAUGGAUAUAUCUAGGAAUAGUUUAGGUCACUCCAAUGGGGCUUAGGGUUCACUAAGAGGGCUACCAAUUAACCUAAACUAAUGGGCCAAUUUUUAACUCCAUAUUAAUCACUAAAUGGUCCAACUAACCAAAUAAUCAUCCAACCCAAACCCGAGCCAUCCAAAAGUAUAGUUCGUCUCCGAGCCGAGCCAAGUCCAUGGUAUCGAUAAAUAAUCCGACAACUGUUUUAAAUCAUCGUCCGAAUUAUUGGGUAUCAAAAAACUCAACACACAUGAUAGUGCACCAUCUGGUAAUUCCAGUUCAUCCUUUGUCCCUGUACAAAAGCAUAAGUAUGGUUGAUUUUGAAUAAUGUACACCCAAAAUUCUUGAUAAAAACAAACAUUAUUUUUCUCUUCUAGAAAUUAAUAAAAUCUUUCUUUAUCAUAUAUUUUUGACUUAAUAUUAAACUACAUGAAACAUUGAGGUUUAAGAUUUCUGCACUUUCUUAAGCUCUCUCUUUUUUACUUUCUAGUUUUAUUACACAUAAGAGCAUCAUUUUUAUUUAGAGCAAUCAUUUGAACUAUGGAAUGGGGACAAGCACUGAGGCAGAAGUUUGAAACUAAGCGGAUUAAAAUUGUAUCUUGCAAGGGUAUAUAGGAACUAUGGAUUCAGUUGGACUCCAAGAUAACGAUACUGCUGGUUACGCCAAACCAAAGGGGACCAUGGUUUAUUCAGUAUGAUUAGGAAGAAAUUAGAAGAAUUUUUAGCACAAUAUUGACCAUGUUUGGAUGCUUUCUUAUUUUACAUAUAAGGUGAGAGAAAAAGUAUUGGAAACUAUCAAUUGGUUACAAACAUUGUUCAAAGAAGAAUAAGGUUGAAAAGUUUCCAGUUGUGGAAAUCAACUCUAAAAUAAAAAUAAAACGGUUUUUCGCCUAUUCUAAGAAAAUCCAUGCCAAAUGAAAGCUAUAUAAGAAUUUCAAAAACAGUAAAUGUUUAUACUAGAAACUAAUUAACAAAGAAUACUGUCAAUAAAAUAAGACAUCAUAUCAUAACCAUAUAAAAAGUCAUAUACCAAUAUAACAAUAGUAUCGCUAAUCUUGCAAGUUCAGUAUAACCUCAAUCCACAUCCAUAUUUUAUAGAUUAAGAACCUAAUUACAAAAGAUAAAAUCAUAAAUUAACCCAACAACAGUAACGCUACAUUGCCAAUUCUAUAUAACCUCACUCCACAUCGAUUCUAAUGCUACAGAUCAUCUGCCACCACCAAUAGGUAAAAUAAUAUGAUCUCUGAUGCUUUCAUAUCCAAUAGCUGUGCUACUACUACCAUCACUAUUUGCAAUUGCAAAGGCUUUCAUUUUCCCAGAAAGCAGGGAUUCAGACUCUUCUUCAUUGGGUUCUGUUUGGUUCCAUGAGUGUUUCCUUGCUAAUCUCAGACCUUCGAGUUCCUUAGCUACUUCAUUCAUACUAGGUCUAUCCUCCCUUUUAACAAGUAAGCACAAUUUCGCAAGCAUAGCAACUGAUGUUAACUCCUUACUCUUUCCUUCGCAUUUAAUAUUAUCAUCAAGAACUUGGAAUAAGCAGCUUCGCUCUAGUGCUAAAAGGAAAUAGUUGGCUAAACUUCUCUCCUCUACUGGUCUGUCAUAGCUUAAUGCCUUCUUUCCUGUUAGUAGCUCGACCAGGACUACUCCAAAGCUGUAAACAUCACUUUUUUGAGUCAAUUGGUUCGUUUGCAUGUAUUCAGGGUCUAAGUAUCCAAAGGUUCCUUGCACCAUAGUAGAUAAUUGAGUUUGAUCCAGUGGAACCAAUCUUGAUGUUCCAAAAUCAGACACUUUUGCAGUGAAACUAGUGUCUAAAAGAAUAUUUGUUGAUUUGAUGUCUCUGUGUAUGAUUGGAGGGGAAGCUAUAGAGUGCAAAUACGCUAGCACUCCAGCAGUUUCUGUAGCAACUCUUAAUCGUAUGUCCCAAGAAAGAGAACGCGCCUUUGUUUUAUUGUGUAUGUGUUCAAAAAGGGAUCCAUUUUCUAUGAAUUCAUAGACUAGCAGAGGAGCUUGCGUUUCUAAACAACAACCAAGGAGCUUGACAACAUUCUUGUGGUUGAUCUGGGAAAGAACUAUCACCUCAUUGAUAAAUUGCUCGACUUGAUGUGGAUCAACUUCUUUGGACUUCUUGAUGGCAACUAGUCGAUUAUCUGCUAACAAGCCCUUGUAUACAGUGCCAUAUCCUCCUUGACCAACAAUUCUACUGUCGUGGAAGUCGUUUGUUGCCUUCUUGAGUUCGGCGGAAGUAAAUAUCUUUGCCAUAAUUGGUGACUGUUGUCUUUGCGUAAGUUUUUCUUGCAACAAUAAGCCACCAUUUUGAAGAAAGAAUUUUUGCUUCAUUGUGUUCAACUUUCUUCUAUUGAGUAUUGAGAGCAACCAGCAAACAACAAGUACAAAAACCGUAAUUCCUAGAGAAAUCCCUGUAGUGGAAAUUUUAGGUUAGUUUCAAGCCUCUUCCUUUAUAUUCAACAAAUGAGCUAGAGAGUAAAAGGUACACGUGACGUGAUGUAGGGAAGCUAAAUACCAAUGUUCAUCAGUUUAGACAAUUUAGUAUAAAUGAUACUUUAAUACUAAAAGCAAUAUUCCUUUGGUACCAUGUGGUUGAGUGGCACCAUUUAGGAGGAUUUGAAAAACCCGUGCUUACGAAUUGUUUUAGGCACCGAUUUUGAAUGGUUUAAAAAUCAUCCAAAAUUGGUAUAGUGUAAUUUUGGUCGAUUCUCUCAACAUAUUAAAUCGACAGGUUUUGGCCAUUUCUCAUAUUCUCUUCUAAUUUUACCUUCUAUAAAAUAAUUAUUUUUAACCAACAUAUUUUCUUCAAAAUUAACUUGUAAAUAAAAAUAUAUUCAUUAUUUAUGAGCAAAAAAUUACAUUUUAGUUAAAAAAAAAAAAAAAAAGAUUCUUAUAAGCAAAAUAUUACUUAGAAAAUAAGAAAAAUUACGUUACAAUUAAAAGAUUAUUUUUGUGUUAAAAAAAUUGCUUAUAAAAUAAAAAUACAACUAAUAAGAUAAAAAUUCACUUAUAAUAUAUAAAGUUACUUAUAAUUUUAAUUAAAUAUUUAACUUUAUUAAAUUUUCGAAGUUAAAUAUUAACUUAUAUGUAAAAAAUUCCCUAAAAUCACUUGUAAGUAAAAAAAAUUCAUACAAGAAACUAUAAAUUGAAAAUUGUACUAGAAGAAAUAUAUUUAAAUCUAUUAUUUUAAAAAACAUUCAAAAUCGACGGAUAAUGAACUCCCAAGUAUAGGUUGGACAAUUUUUUUAAAAAUCGCUACUAAUUGAUACUCCGAAACUCCCAGGCAGUCCCUAAGCUAAGAAUUGGUUUGUAGGUUUAUAGCUACAUGAACACUCAACCCUUUCAAGUCAAUUUUAUGUGAGUUUUGGGAAAUGUCGUUGUCAUAAUAAGUAUCAUGAUAGACAUCCUCAUCAAGUAUGACGAUAGACUUAGGGAGUGUACUUUCAAUGGAAGACUUGUUUUGUAAAAUCACCCAGCUUGAAACAUGGAUCAUCGACGACGAUAAUUCUAAAUCCUGGGCGAAAUGUAAUGAAUGGAGGGCUUAGCUAACCUGCAACAAGUCUGAAUACAAGGGAUUGGCCACGAAAGCAACCCUGUCUAUCUUUCUUCCCAUCUCCAUUGUAACCUUUCGGACAAACGCACUUAAAACUCCCCAUUGUGUUUACACAUCGGUAUACACAAUUGUUGAGUCUUGGAAUUUUACAUUCAUCAAUAUCUGUGUAAAAGAAAUAACAAUAUGAAAGAAAGCGAAUUAAAAACUUAAAGGAAAGAAAAAGGCGAAUUUAAAAUCUUAAAAGACACGUGGCUAAACAAUUCAUGAUGUAUUUCAAGAUAAUGCACAGGAAAUCAAACUUUAAUACCUUUGCAGCCAUCAAUGAGGUAUGGAUUCCCUUCAUAACCCUCUGAACAAUAACAACGAUACCCAUUAUCGGUUCCUUUACAACUGGAAUUCGUGCUUUUACAGGCAUAGCUAGACAUGUUCUUCUGAGACUCCUCACAUGUUCCUCCGUCAAUUGCCCAGUCAACCAUCAUGGGAAGCGUCUCUACAUUCUUCAGAAUUGAAAGACUAUUUGGAGAAAAAUUGAAUGCACUUUCCUCUGCAAGAAAUGCAUAGCUGCAUUUAUCGAAGUCCCACAGAGUGGUGGUGUGAUUAUCAUAGCUAUCUGUGAAAUUAGAAAAGCUCUGCAACGUCAACUCAACAUCCCACACCCCUUUUGGGAUAGACACCUGGCAACAGCCUACACCGGAACAUGACCGUUCCUCCAGAUCAUCCUUCCUUGCACACGUGGAAGUGCACCCUGUCUGGUAAUCACUCUUGGUAUUCCGGCUCCCAAGUACAGAACCAUAAGUAUCGCAACCAACAACAGUUAACUUAUUUGCCGUAUUAUUGACUGUGAAUCCUUCAAAAUAUAUAUAGGGGUUGUUAUGGAAUACUCUGGUGCCCUUCCUAUCAUAACAGUCUUUCUGUAUGAAUGGAAACAUAGUCAAUUGACCCUCCAGGGAUAUGUUUGCGAUAUCUAGGUUUGUGUUGUUCAAGAAUGGUUUAGGAGGAUCACCGGUGUGAUUACAAGCGACUAAGAAUCUUUCACUAAGGUAACAACCUUUCCCUGUGCCAAAGGGGAAGGGAAUACUUACAUCUCCACAACGAUCCGUGCAGUUGGGCUUUGCUAUUUGGAAAUUUGUUUGUGAUUUUGUGACAAAAAUAAGCAGCAUUGCUAGAAAGAAGUGGGCUUGCAGCAAAAGCAUAUACGAUCCCAUGGUGAAUUUAGUUAUAAUUCUCUUUCCCAGAUUGUAUUGCAGUAACAGAAUUACAACCUAAGCAUUGUACAAAAACGUUUGGAAGAUGAUUUCUUAUAUAGUUUGUAAGUCUUCGGCUAAGUCAAUGAACAUCUUAUCUUGACUAAAAAGUCUCCUUUGGAAGUGUUUUAAGGGGCAAUGUUUUCAGAUUAAUGCUGGGCGCCACCACAAUAGAAAUUUUUUAAGGGGCAAUGUUUUCAGAAUAAAGCUGGGCGCCAACUGUUGAUAUGUGGCCCUGUUCAACAAGCAAAGCCCAUGUUUUCACUACUCGGCAUUAGUGUUGUACGUUUGGGAGGUGAAAUAAGAAAGGCCUUGCACUAUUUUUUAUACAAGUUCAUGAGCACUGAACUUGGAAUCAAGAAGGCGAUCAGUAGCAUAUGACUCAUGUGCUAGGCUAGUUUCACAAAGGGGUAUUGACAUGACUCAUCUAAAUACACAUUACAAAAGAUGUAGUCUCUAUUUUAUAAGCCAUAAUUAACACUAUUGCAAGACUCGAGUCUUCCUAAUUUAUGCAUGGUAUGCUACAGGUCUUGACCAAACUAGUUUCAAAGAAUGUCUAGUUGUCACCUCGUUAUCAAAACUGUUACUGUUUGUUAUUGAGGUGGGCCAAUAAUUAAGAAACGAACUUCUAAUUUAUGCAUAGUACCCUAGAUGUCCCAAUCAACCUAGUUUAAAAAUAUGCCUAAUUGUCUCCCUCGUUAUCAAAAUUUUUAAUGUUUAUUGUUGGGGUGGGCUGAUAUUGAAGAAACCAAUGUAUGAUGAUAUGAGCCUCAUUCGUUAUGAAAGUAUUAAUCAUGACUUGACAUAUAUUGUAGUGCCUACUACAUAAUUAGACUAAGUUAUAUGGUAGACUUCUAUUAUUUCAUUGGCUUUUUGAAAGAAAUCAUGAUGAUUUUUUUUCCUGUACAUAAAUUUAACAUGUAUUCAUUUGUCAUGGCUAGGUUGCAAAAUUCCAACACUAAAUGAAUAACAUGUCAGUUCGAUCUAUAAAUUAAUCAACAGAUGCUUCUUCAUUUUAGAUUUAACUUCUUCGCUUUCGUGAAUACAAAAAUGUUCUCACCAUUUAAUUAGAAUUACAAUAGUGAUGUUAUUAUACAACUUGAAGACAAGGAGAUGAGAUUGGAUUAUGGACAGAAAAAAAUAAAAAAAAUAAAUAAAAAUAGUUUGUGAGAUUUUAUUUUUUUAUUUUUAAAUUGAAGGCCAGUUGGUGGAGGUUAUUAGAUCAAAUACAUGGUUUAACUAGGCUAAAAUAUUCCUAGUUGUCAUCUCGUUAUCAAAACUUUCAUUGUUUAAUGUUGAGGUGGGUCGAUAAUUAAGAAACCAACGUAUGAUGACAUGAGCCUCAUUCAUUAUGAAAGUAUUAAUCAUGACUUGACAUACGCGGUAGUGCCUACUUUAGAAAUUGACUAAGUCAUAUCGUAGACUUCUAUUCUUUCACUGGAUUUUUGAAAGAAAUCAUGAUAAUUUUUUUCCUAUACAUAUAUUUAAUGUGUAUUCAUUUGUCAUGGCUAGGUUGCAAAAUUCCAAUACUAAAUGAAUAAGGUAUCAAAUCGAUCUAGAAAUGAGUCAACAAAACCUUCUGUAUUUUAGAUCUAAAUUCUUCACUUUUGUGAUUAGGAAAAUGUGCCAAUUCUUUUCUCUCAAUUUAAUUAGAAUAAAAAUAGUGAUUUUAUUAAACAACAUGGAGAUGAGGAGAUGAGAUGAGAUGAGAUGAGAUUAAGGGAAAAAAUAGUUUGUGAGAUUUUUGUAAAAUUGAAGGCCAUUUGAUAAAGAAACAUUGGGGGUAGAUUAUUUAACCAAAUACAUGGUUUGACUAGGCUAAAAUAUGUGUCGUUGUCACCUCGUUAUUAAAACUUUCAUUUUCUUAGUGUUGAGGUGGGUCAGCAAUUAAGAAACCAACGUAUGAUAUAUGAGACUCAUUCAUUAUGAAAGUAUUAAUAAUGACUUGACAUAUAUGGUAGUGCCUACAAUAGAAAUGGACUAAAUCAUAUCAUAGACUUCUGUGUUUCACUGGCUUUUUGAAAGAAACCAUGAUGAUUUCAAUACUAAAUGAAUAACGUAUUAGUUUGAUCUAGAAAUGAAUCAAGUGAACCUUCAUUUUAGAUCCAAAUUCUUUGCUUUUGUGAAUACAAAAAUGUGUCAAUCCUUAUUCUCUCCAUUUAAUUAGAGUUACAAUAGUGAUGUUAUUAAACAAUCCGAAGACGAGGAGAUGAGAUUUGAUUAAAAAAAUAGUUUGUGAGUUUUUUUUUUUUUUUAAUUGAACGCUAUUCGAUCAAGAAACACUUUAUGAAGGUUAUUUAAACAAAUGCUGUAAAACAGUUUGACUAGGCUAAAAUAUGCCUAGUUGUCACCUUGUUAUUAAAAAAUUCAUUGUUUAUUGUUGAGGUGGGUCGAUAAUUAUGAAACCAAUGUAUGAUGAUAUGAGCCUCAUUCGUUAUGAAAGCAUUAAUCACGACUUUACAUAUAUGGUAGUGCCUUCUACAAAAAUGGACUAAGUCAUAUCGUAGACUUCUAUUGUUUCACUGGAUUUUUGAAAGAAAUCACGAUGAUUUUUUCCUAUACAUAUAUUUAACGUGUAUUUAUUUGUCAUUGUUGGAUUGCAAAAUUUCAAUAUUAAAUGAAUAAUGUAUCAAUUCGAUCCAGAAAUGAAUCAACAAAACCUUCUUCCUUUUAGAUCAAAAUUCUUCCUUUUGUGUACACACACACACACACACAUGUAUGUAUGUAUGUAUGUAUGUAUGUAUGUAUGUAUGCGCGUGCAUGUGUGCAUACAUAUACAUAUAGAUAUAUGUAUGUAUAUGUGUCUACAUAUAUAUGUAGUUUGUGAGAUUUUUUCAAAAUUGAAGACCAUUUGAUGAAGAAGAUUUGGUGGAGGUUAUUUAACUAAAUACAUGGUUUGAUUAGGCUAAAAUAUGCGUAGUUGUCACCUCGUUAUCAAAACUUUCAUUUCUUACUGUUGAGGUGGGUCAGUAAGUAAGAAACCAACGUAUGAUGAUAUGAGCAUCAUUUGUUGUGAAAGUAUUAAUCAUAAUGACUUGACAUAUACGGUAGUGCCUAUUGUAGAAAUGGACUAAGUCAUAUCGUAGACUUCUAUGUUUCACUGGCUCUUUGAAAGAAAUCAUGAUGAUUUUUUUCUAUACAUAUAUUUAACAUGUAUUCAUUUGUCGUGGCUAGAUGGCAAGAUUCCAAUACUAAAUGAAUAACGUAUCGGUUUAAUCUAGAAAUGAAUCAAUUGAACUUUCAUUUUAAAACUAAAUUCUUCGCUUUUGUGAAUACAAAAAUGUGCCCAUCCUUUUUCACUCCUUUUAAUUAGAGUUACAAUAGUGAUGUUAUUAAAUAAUAUGAAGACGAGGAGAUGAGAUUUGAUUGUGGAAAAAAAAAAUAGUUUGUGAGAUUUUUUUAAAAUUGAAGACCAUUCGAUCAAGCCAAAUUAAAAACUAUUUCUGGUAAUAUUUAGUUUCCUUUUUUCUAUAUGUUAGAGAACUUGAAUUAAGCCAAAUUUUUGACAACUUACUUCUUUUACUUAAUAUUUUAUUUUGUUAUAAUUUCGGGAUUUUGCCAUUUUUGGUAAUUUUCCAAUAAUUUUGUAUUUCGCAGCUAUUUAACCCGGCUUGUGGUUUAGUUUUCAGCAUUCUGCAUUAUUAAUAAUAUUGAGUUGAAAUCAGAGUAUUUUCUCUGUUUUUUGGGCGUUUUCUAUCGUUCUUUUCUUGCGAAUCAUCUGCUACAACAAGCCAAUAGGAUAAUCACUAUCCUACCCGGCGUCAGACGUCAAAUCAGCAAAUAUUCUUUUAAACAGCAGUUACACAGCAAAAGUAUCUGAUUUUGGAGCAUCAAGACUGGUUCCACUAGAUCAAACACAAUUAUCUACCAUGGUGCAAGGAACGUUUGGAUACUUAGACCCUGAGUACAUGCAAACGAACCAAUUGACAGAGAAAAAUGAUGUUUAUAGCUUCGGAGUAGUCCUUGUGGAGUUAUUAACAGGAAAAAAGGCAUUGAGCUACGACCGGCCAGAGGAGGAGAGAAAUUUAGCCAGCUAUUUUCUUUCCACACUGAAGCAAGGCCGCUUAUUCCAAAUUCUUGAUGAUAAUAAUAUAUGUGAAGGAAACAGUGAGCAGUUAAUAGCAGUUUCUAUGCUUGUGAGAAGGUGUUUACAUGUGAAAGGGGAGGAUAGACCUAGAAUGAAGGAAGUAGCUAUGGAACUUGAAGGUUUGAGACUAUCAGCAAGACACUCAUGGGAGCAAACUGAACCCUAUGCAGAAGAGAAGGAAUCCCUUCUUUCUGUUGAAAUGAAUACCUUAGCAAAUGGUGAGGGUAAUAGCGCACGCACCGGAUUUGAUAGCAUCAGAGAUCAUAUUACUUUACCUAUGGGUGGUGCGAGAUGAUACUGUAUUGGUAAUAAAUAAAGGGAAAAAGUUAAUACAUGGUGGCUUUUCAAAGCCUGAUUCUCUAGCAUAAAGAUCGAUGUAGAUUUGAGUUUUGCUAAUUUUGUAAGAUUAGCAUAAUAUUUGUUAAUUCUUGUAUGGGAAAUCUAUGUAAUAAGCCUUAUUCUGUUGACAUUAUAUCCUUUGCUACUUUGUACUUUAAGCAUUCAUAUAUUUGAUUCGUCACAUAUUAAUUUGCCAUGGUUCUUCCACUUUUUAGGAUUUUUUUUUUCCAAUCACAAAAAAUGAUUUUCCUUCAGUGCAUCUAUCGAGAACUCCUCUGUUUUCCCUUUAAGAAAAACAUAAAAAUACGAAGAGAUUGUAGAGUUGCAGCUUGGAGAAGUAGUCAAAAUUGCUCAAGUUUUUAAAUGAACUAGUUCAAAGAAGUGUUGUAGAUGACAAUUGAUUAGUUUGACACACGAAAGUUCAGUGACUUGUACGAAGUUACAUAAAAAUGAUGUUGGGGAAGAAUGAUUGCCUAGAGCUUGGUAAGUUGAUAUAUGCAAUGUCCGUAACCACCAAUUAGAUGGAUCUAUUUUUCUUUUAGCUAUUUUUUUUUCCAUUUAACUAAAAACAAGGGUAUAAUUUCUUUUAAACCAAGGACUUAUGAUAAAAUUACAAUGAUAAUUGAAAGAAGAGCAAGUUAAUGAACAAGUUGUCAUCUCAAAAAUCAAUUAUACAAGAGCAAGAGCACUUAGGUUCUAGUGAUAUUUAGGGAUACAAGUUUCUUUGGUAGAAGAUGACAUUGUAGUUAUGCAUAUAGUCUCAUGAAAUGUACUUGUUUAUCUUUCCGAGCAUAACGAUUUAUUCCUUUGAAAACGAACUAGUCUUCUGGCUUGUUCGAUUAGAGGAAUUUUUUAUUUUUUUGCAUGCUUUAUUGGCCAAAUUUUCUUGCCAAUUGGUUUUCCACCUUCACUCCAUGUGCCUAGGUUUUCCACUUUUUGAGGAAUUGGCUUUCCCAUGGGUUUGGUGGUUUUUGGUUUUCCAACUUAUUUAUUUAUUUAUUUAUUAUUAUUAUUAUUAUUUUUUUGCAAUGAAAAUAAAUUCUAUCAAUUUAAUUGACAAUUUUCAUGGAAAAUAAAGUCAAACGAACACCAAAAUAUCCAAAAUUUCAACAUUUCUCAGAUGAUGAAGUAUACCAAUCAAACCAUUUAAUUUGCAUUUCCUAGUCAAACAAGUUAUAGACAAUUCAAUUCUCUAACAUUUGUUUUCUUUCCAUUCAAAUUUCAUUCUUGUAAUCAAACGGACCUUUACUAAAUAUUCUCGAUAUAAAGAACAUCUUUUAGGACUCUUUUGACUUUAAUUACAACUCAAUGACUCGUGAUUUUGGACACGAGAAUAGCCAAUUACCGUUAGGACCUAACAAUUAAAGUUACACUGAAUUUGUACGAUUAGCAUUAUUGUUGGUAGAGUUCAUUAUUUGAUUUCUUCCAAUCUUUAUAUAAGGGUUGAGUAUAUUGUAAUAAGGUUUAUCUUUGAUUUCUCGAAUAUGACAACUAUUGUUCUUAUGCUGAAGAAAAAAUCCAGAUUGUGUAGCUGACUAUACCAAAUUGUUCAAAAAAAAACAACCGCAAACAGGCUCAGAAAUGGCUUGCCUGCUAUUUUAUCAGCAAAUUAAAGUGCCUUUGUCCUAGUCACCAGAUUUUGGACAAUACCAGAGUAAAUUUUGAACUUACUACAUUUGAAUGAGUAAACAAAGGAUUGGACGAAAAGAAAUGUUUAAUUUAAUUAAUGUUUUUAUUUAUUUUGGUAAAUAGAAGUUUACUAUUUUUCCCUUUAUAAAAAUAUUAAAAAUGUGAUCAAACUCAAUUUUUUGGUCAGCUAACGAUAAAUUGAAUGUUUUCCAUCCAUUGGGGCCUCACCUACAACGUUUAAAAAGGUUUGGGAAAAGUAUGCUAGUAUUUGAAAGAUUUGGAGCCUCUAUUGCAAUUAUACCCAAAAUCAUUUCAAAAUGAAUUAACUAUUUUUAUACCUUAAUGAAAGUCCUAAAACGACGAUCAAGAGUUCUUAGGACGUAAAGCAAAAGAGGAUGGAAAGAAAUUUUUUUCUUUCUUGGCAUGUACAAAUGUUCUUUCAAUUACAAGGAACACAUAAAUCAUUCUUCAGCAAAGGAAGGGGCAAUGUUUCUUUCUAAUUUAUGGCCUUUAUUUAAGGGUAAGAUUGUGCUAAUUAACUAAAUAGCAAAAUCAUUGGAGUCAAAAUUGUGCAAAUUACCUAAAUUGCAAAUUUAUUGACUCGUCGGUUAAUUCCAUUACUUAUCUACUGUCCGUAUGAAAAUUCAAUCAAAAUAGCUAGAAUGUAUUUUAUACUAAAGAUAAAGUAUUAAUGUUGUUAAGGGUCAAGGCUUUGUUGAAUUUAUUCACUAACGUUGUUGAAGAAAGUGGGGUUCAUUAUUUCUCCGAAACAAUUUUUCCAACUGAGUAAUAUAAUAAUGUAAGUCCGAAAAUGUGAUUUGCAUGAUCUAUAAUGUCGAAUAAAAAAAUGGGACAAAGCUAUCUUUCUAUCAAAUAACUUUAUAGAAGCCUUCUAGAAGGGAUUGAGCCUCAUUCAUUGACUUGGCUUGUUAUCAACCCACAUUUAUUUUCCCACCUCUACAACCAAAGUUUUGAAAACAAAUCACUACAUUGCAUAUUUUGUGAAAUAAUUUGGUAGGUUCAUCUAAGGUCCCACGAAUAAAUUGGUAGGCAAGGAGUCUUGCCAUAACAUUAGUUAUGGUAUAUAUGUUCCAUUUCUUUUCCAUUGUGAAUACCAUAGGAAAGGUCACUUCCUAAUUGAUCACCGUAAUUUGGUGCUUGUUUGACAAAAAUUUUCUAAUUUUUUUAAUUAAAUUUUGAACUGGCCAAACCUAAAUUUUAAUCACACAUUUCAUAGAACUUACAACUUUAUUAAAUUUUCAAACACUCAUUACAUCAAAUUUUAUCAAAUUUGCUUAAACUUCUACGAGGGGCUUUGUCAAAUUAACAAUCUCAUAGUACACAAUGAAUUUGUAUAAAGUGCAGUGCAUGCCCCUUUUCAUUUCACCUGCCAAAUGAACUAUAAAGCAAUGCACCUUUUCCUCAAUACUAGUCUUUGCCCGUGCAAAUGCACGAGCUAGACUAUUCUGAAAGUAAUGUUAGAGUAUUAAAUGCGUUGAAUUCUUAUAAAUUAUAUCCUUAACUAAAUGUUUGCUAUAGCUACAUUGGUUGAACUUUUCCUUAUGGAGCAUGCAGAGAGAUUUAUUAAAUUAUAUGAUUCAAAAACACCAUAAAUCUUUUUCCAUGUGGAUUAAGGACAAUCAAGUUACUUAAAUAAUCCAAGUUGAAUCAUUAGCAUUAUAUUUAAGGUUAAUUAGUUUGAUCAUAAUCCUUUUAACUCAAGUAAGAUCAAAAGCACUAUCAAUUAAGCUAAUAUAUGAAGAUCAAUCCUAAAUCAAUUGAGAAACAUUAUCUGUUGAAAGUUAUAUAAUAAGUUGAUAAGAUAUUUAUUCAAUCAGUAUGAAAUUGGAAGGAUAAUCUCAAUCAGAAAAGGAUUACACUCUUCAUCUCUCAUUUCAUGAUGAUAUUCCUGCUGAAACUCUACAUAUCCUCGUGAGGCAAAAAUUCAUUCAAUUCCAUGCACACAUAUAAAUUUAAAAGUAUAAUACACAUGUACAAACCAAGAAACAAACAUAUAAAUUUAAAAGUAUAAUACCCAUAUACAAACCAAGAAACAAACAAAAAUAAAAUAGAAGAGGAGAACAAUGGAAAAACCCCUCAUUUGAAAAUAUAAUUUACUGAGACUUUAUAGCAAUCCAAUAGCAGAAACUGAUGAUGGUUAGUGAAAAUAAUUUUAUCAAAAUAAGGGGAGUUCUCAUACUGUUGUAUGAAAAUUACACUACAUAAUAAAUAGCAUUAAAUCAACCAGUAAGUUGUUUACCUCCCCUUUCACAAUGACCAAUUGGAAAGUAUCUGAAGCACGCUCCUAACACAAUGUUUUUGCCCUAUGAAUGUACCUUAACACUUCCACAAGCUGUAAGCAAUACCAAAAAAACAUAUGUACACAUCUAUGCAGGAAAGACAUAAUGAUUCAGCAAUCUAUAUCUUCUAACCCAAAAAAAUUAAAUAUAUGAUUUGUUGAGCUUCAUUAGUAAAUGGUAAGAAAAAAAAAAGACAAAUACAUUGGUCAAGAUCAUAUAUUUAUAUAUAUGUUUGUGUAGAAAAUAACCAUCUUACACAACAAUCAGUUAAAUUUCAAAUGACACAAUGUAAUAAAAGGGAAUACUCAUUUCUUGAUUAAUAUCUAACGCCUGGGUACUCUUCACCACUGCCAUCUAACUUCAAAGGCUUGGCACCAUAUGCAUUCCCAAUAUUAGCCUUCUCCUGAAGAUGUUCAAAAACACAUAAUGAUCAGAAUCAUAAGAAGUACAAAAAUUGAGAAGACCGUGUCCCUCUAUUCUUUCAAUAUGUAACUUGUAGCAACAAAUUAGUGUACUAAAAAAUUUUCUCAGCUGCAAAUUACAUUUUCCCCAACCACACACAUCUGUUGAAAACAAAGUUCAACACUAAGUCAUGUGUGUAAGUGCAUAGUUUCACAACAUAGAUUUGACGAUUUAACUUCUUAAAUCCAUAAUGCUGAUAGAAAAAAUUGAAGAGAGAAAAGAGAAAGGCAAGAUAUUAAGCACUCCUUAUAACCACUCUUUUCUCAUUGAAGCUAGUUUAUCUAAGGAGUACCUCCAGAGUCAACUGCCACACUUUCUACUCCUUUUUGUGUACUUGUUCCUCUCUUAUAGGGGAUGCUUCUUCUCAUUUUCUCUAAUCAACCUUUUUCGUUCCAUUAACUAUAAACCUUUGUGAAACCAGGUAAGUGCACUCCGAAAUUGAUGAAUCUCAUACGAUAUCUUCUUGACGAGCUUUACUGAGUACUUAUAUCCAUCAAUGAUUACCCAUCGUUGCUCUCCAUUCCUUCUUCAUUUCCAUCAAAAGUAACAUUCAAUUUUAUUACAAACAAAAUUCUUGAUUUUGUGAAGCCAUACAUAAUUCAAUAAGAAAUCAAAAGGCCAUGUGAUCCAUAAAUUAAAAGAAUUUUGCCUGAAGUUUUAUCUCUGUUCAUGUUCAUUAUCAUUUGGUUAUGAAAUCCGCUGACAAGGUUUACAUCGUCUUGGUAGUUGGAGAUACUCUUGUCAUGCAUUUUUUUUUCAUUAGCAAACCACUCAACAAAUCUAAUACGCUAACCUGCAUUAGAUUCUACAUUUACCUUUUUCUCAUUUCCAUCAAUUUCUUAUUAAGUACUUACAAUUUAAUCUUUUCAUUCGAAAAUUUUAGCCUUCCAAAACCUCCUGUAUAAGAAUUUAAACAUCAUAUCUUCCAAACUUCUAAGCCGAAAAAGUAUUAAUCAAACUAAUUCUACCUAAGAUUUGUUCCUUAAAAGCAUUUCCAAGAAGUAAAGUAAUUGGAGGUCUUCAACCAAAAUCCAAGAAAGAGAUUUCACUGUAAUGACUCUCUUUUCCUCUCUUAUCCCUUAUCCCUCUGUGUACAAGUGUGCGCAUUUGCAUGACUGUAUGCUUUAAUAUCAUUCUUCUCAUCUCCUCUUUCUCUUCAACCCUUGAAAUUUCUAACCCCAGCAAAAAGAGAUAAGAGAAAAUAAAAAAUUGUGAAGUUUCGAAAGUUUGCAAACCUCUACAAUAACUUACUUCUCGCAUUAAAGCAAACAGAUAUUUUGCCCUGCAAAAAGAAAACUAUAACCAUUCUUGGAUAGUUAUCAUUAAAGCAGAUAGUAUCUUUUGAUUUUUUUUUUAUUUUGUUUGAUAUUUUUGUUUAAUUUUAUCUUUUUAGUUUUGAAAGGAUUGUUUAAAGCAAUCCAACUUAAGGUUUGUCCUUUAAAGUCAUUUGAAGAAAUCAAAGGAGGACUUUAGUUUGUCAGCUCUAUGUGUGUCUUGCCCAAUGUGCAAGUGUGUAUAUUUACAUGUGUGAAUAUCCUCAUUCCUUACCUCUCCCCCUCCCCACUCCUCCACAACCACUGCUUUCUUUCCACCCUGGAAAACAGAAGAAUAAAAAAUUGAAAAUGACCAGAAGAUUGUUAAGUUCUUCCCUCACCUACUCAGUGCGAUUAUAGCAAACAUACAUUUAGUGUUAAAAAAAAAAGAAUACUAUAAAAUUUUCACGCUUGAAUAGAUAAAGAAACAUGAAGAAAAUAAAAGAGUGAAAGAAAACUAUACUCUUUCCAAGUUUCCUUAGUAGAUAUUAUCAGAGCAGGUUUCAUCUUGUCUUUAUUCUGUGAUUUGAUAAGAUUUUUUUUUAUCUAUGGGGUCUUGCAAUGUAUAGCGAUUUAAGUAUGAUCACUUUAUUUUAAUUUUUUUGGGAUAAACUCAAAUAUCUACAAUUCAUAAGGAUGAAACAAGCGAUAUACAUCAGCUACUGAAGAUUAUUUCUUUCUUUUUCUUUUUUCUUUUUUUGAUAAAUGCUACUGACAAUUAUUUCUCUAUGCUACAGAAUCACAUUUUUCCAAAUAAACCUCUCUCAUCAAUGUACAUUCCUUUGACAAACCGAAGAUUUCUAAAGAUGAAGCACCACUGAUACUAAUAGCAUACAGCUGUUUGAUGGAACAUUUCACCAUACUGAUCUACUUACUGCUCAAGCCACUAAUUCAGGAGAAUAUAUAAAGCACGCUAAUCUUAAGAUGAUUGAGCUCUUAUAAACUGGAAUGUAAGGGGAUCCUGAAAAUGAGAUUAUACCUCUAGUAAUUGGAACAAAGACUUCAUGUUGACCAACCUUUGUACUGAUUCCUGUUAAACACCUCUAAAGAAGUUGAGUGGAAGAGACAACUGGAAAAAGUAGCCCAUUUACCAUGACUUACAAGAAAAACGUCGAGGCAUCAAUAUCAUUAAUUAUUUGAUGAUAGCAGUGUUCCUUUUUUUUUCUAGAUUUGAUAGUAUGUAAACCGAAAGGAUAAGAAGAUUGAAGUUUUACCAAGUCACUAACAGUUGGGAACACAAGACCAUAUCUGCACAGUGUGCUGUGCUAAAUAUUAAAUUCUAGCGAAAGUUUUAAAUAGUCAAGGGUUCGUUGAGUUUGUAAGGCAGCAUCUUCAUGUCCUAAAAUAUAUUAUAUCAUUACUAAUUGAUUGGAAUCUACUCUAUUAGACUUUCAAAGAAUAGAAUCGGAGUAAAAAAAAUUCAUCACUGCGUCUCAAGUACUAAAAGCAAGAAAUUGAUCAUAAAAUUAUUUUUAAGCUACUGUGAGACCCCCAGAUGCAUUGCAAAAUGCAAUCAGACUAAUAUUUAGUGCAUUUUCAGACCAAGCUAUUUUGAAGAUCAAACUUGCUCAAAUGAAAUAUUUUGCAACAAUAAAAGAUCCAACUGUUUCAAUCCCCAGUUCACGAGGUGAUCAUGUUAUUCCAGUGUUACCAUCCGGCCAUGUGUAGUAAGGUAAAAGAAAAGCAAUACUGUCAAAGAUUCCAUUAAAAUAGAAUAGUGUUUUGCUCUCCUCGUGAGACCUACACAAAUAAUAUCAUUUCUCUAUAAUCAAUUAAGGAUAAAUGAAAACAAGAACUAACCAUACAAUCACAACGACACAAAUAGGACUCAAUCCAUUAAUGCAUAAUGAUCCGGGUACCUGGUCCAAACUUUAGCAUUCAGUUAACCUUCAUUAAGCCGCUUCCAGUAAUCUAAGUGUUUAAGUGAAGAUUCAAAGAUAAUAUCUUCUUUAUAUUUCUUUCGAAAUGAACACAAACGAAUAAAAAGAAAAGUCAAGGAUAGUUGUGGCUGUGUCCUAAAUGCAUGCGAAACUACUUUUCCCUCUACAUCACAAGUAAAAAUAGGAGUACUGCCAACAAUGGAGAAAAAAUCAACAUGGAAAAAAGUAACUGGUCAUGCACUAUGGAAAGAGGUAAUAGAAACUCUUUAUCUUAGAAGUUUUAGUUAUUUACUUUCUUGAUUAUUUCAACAUUUUAUGGUUUGGAAAGAAACCUCUUAAGCUUGAGAUUCUGAACACUUUUAGAAAGUGUUUUUCGAUUAAAUUUCCCUUAUACGUUUCACAUGCUACCUCUGAUUUCUUCUGCUUUUACUUUCCCAACAAGCAAAAUAGAAAAUUUUGCAGUAAUAAACUACUAAAAUGAGCCGAAAGAUAUUGCGUGUUUGGGUAAAGCUUCAACUUCCAAGAAUGUUAGAGCAGUUCAACAAUAGCUCGGACAACAAGGUAGGAGCAGGGAAGCCUUUCAACUUAUUUUCAAGAUAGCUUAAAGAUAGGAUCUAAUAACAAUAUAUGUCUAUUUGAGAUGUCGUUUGGCAUUUUUUCCCAGAUCAGUAGCAAAUGAGGCAUUUUAGUGACAAGAGGAGGAAAUAAAAUCAGAAAAAAGGGAAAAAGAACAAGAACAAGAACAAGAUUACAUAGGAAUAAAAUAGUGGUUUCUUGCUAACCUGCUGACCGCUGUCACCUUCUCCAUGAAUUUGAAAUUUACCAAUCUGAAUACCUAUAAAACAUGCUCGUAGGGCAUUUUCAAUGCUUUCAUCACUGCAAAAAAUUGAAACCUCAGAAAGCCAAUUUGAAAUUAACAAAAACGACUGCAGAAAGCCAUCUAAUAGUAAAACCACUACCCUAAACUUUAACGAAGAAAAAAGGAACAUCAAAGAAUUGAAUGUUUUCUACAUGAAAACCUCAAUCAGACAUUAAUUAACAACAAAAAUUUCUAUUAAAAAGAAAGAAAAGUAAGUUAUUACAAUAUACCUCUAGCAGAAGUUGAAUGCAAAACUUUGGCAGAUCGGACCAAUGAAUUUUAUUUGCGUAAAUAUUUAUCAACCCACAGGUAUAUAUAUAGAGACAAGGUAAAAGUAAAAGAAAUAUAAUUAAUUCUUUUAAUAGAUGUUUUAAGCAAAACAAUCUUUAUUUUCCUUGGGCAUAUUGCAAGCCCACUAUAGAAAAUUUUACAGUUAUAUUCUAUUUUCAGCAAGCUAACACAUCAACAAGUUCUCUACAAGGUUCAAUUGGGAGGAAAUAAACUUUGAAGAAGAAAAAUGAGAAGAAUUGACCACCUAGUCCACUUGCUUUCUGAUUUUCCAUUAUAACCUGCAGCCUUUUGACCAGAUGCAUUUUCAUAGAAAUUAUUGUACCCAUCAUCUUUAGCAUCAUCCCAGCCUAACCAGCUAUCACAAUUGUGGAAUGUUGUCUCCUUCGAUGAAUCUUCUUUCCUAUUAUCUUUGCUAUUGCAAUCAUCCCAGGAACCAUAACUGGCAUAGUUAAAUUGAUAAGUAGAUGAUUAUUGUGCUCCAGCUGAAGAAAUCCACCCUUUAGACUCCUGUCCAAAAUCCUAAUGGUAACCAGUUCUCUCGUUUUCAUUUUGUUGCCAGCCAUCAUUCUUCCAGUGAUAGCCUUUAGUGUACACCUCAAACUUCUGUGAAGCCAAAGCCAUUUCACCUUUCACCAGUCCCCAUGUCUUCUAACCGAUCUUUGAAGCUUUUGCAGUCACAAUGUUUACAAUUUCGUUCACCUUGUUAUCAUAGCUUCCCUCUUUUACCUGUUGAACCACGAUGAAUUUGCGUGUUGAUUAACACCACUCAAAUUUUUUAGAUAUAGAAAUAUAAGGGAAAUAAAUUUAGAAUGCAUUUCACCUUAAUCAUCCACGUAAGCCAGACAUCUAAAUUUCAACUGAAGAAAAAAAUUGUACUACAGGAAUAAAUUUCUAGAAGAUCGAAAGCUCAUCUAUUAAAUCAUGAAUUUUGCAAUUACAUCAAAUUCUGAUAUAACUUGCACUACCCACUUACUGAGGGCUUGUUACUCUUUUUAUAUAUUACUAAGGAAUUUAUUACGAUGUUAUGAAUAUUUUACCAAAUGGGAGCACCAAAAUAAGAACCGUUCUAUAUAGGCCGUCUCUAAAUUCAGUACAAUUAAUCGAGAAGAAAUUUUGAAAUUCACCAAACCCUCAUUGUCCUAAUUGCUAGGCAACAGAAAAUGCCACACCUAACCAGCUGACAAUAAGCUAACCAUGUCAAGUUCUUUCCAUCAACCUUCAUUUUGCUACAUUUGAGCUUCUCAGCCAAUGAGUGAGGGCAAGGGCGGACGUAGACCUUUAGUAUUGUGGGGUCAAAAUUUUAAAAAUAAUUUUUUAAAUAAACAAUAUAAUAUCAAUGAAAAUAAGUUUAUAUGUAUUUUGACAAUUUGAAAACGUCGUAUAAUUACAUCAUUAUUAAUAUUAUUAAAUAAAAUUUGCUACUUGUAUAUUUUUGUUUAUCAUUUCAUUGACAAAUGUUGAGCUAACAUUGAGUAAAUUAAAUUAAAUAUAGAAAUUAAAUGAAUUGAAAUAAAAUUCAAGUUUAGUUCAGGAAGUAAAUGAGAUUCAAAUUUAAAGCAAAUAUAAUUCAAAAUUAAUUCAAAUUAUAUUUAAUCUGUAACGAUCCUAAAAAACUUACGUCAUAUUUCAUGUAAAACUUCCGAAUGAAACGAUAUAAAUUAUAUUCUAAAGAAUUUACAUCAUAUUUCAUGUAAGACUUCCGAAUAAAACGAUAUAAAUUAUAUUGAAAAAUUUAUCGUGCAAAAAUAAUAAUUAAUUGAAUUUUUUAAAACAAAAAACGAGUUAGACGUUUUUUUUGAAGCGUACGUUUGAUACAUAUUUAACUAUUUUAGAUAUCUGUUUGGACCAUUCGAUAUGAAAACGAUGUAGUUUUCGAAACAAACUUUUACAUGGCAUAGACGAUUUGUGGAUUCAGAUAGCACAUGAUCGCAAACGAAUUUUUAAAGUUAGGAUAUUAUCAAAAUUUUCAAAAUACUAGUUUCAAACGCCCUACUUUAACAUGUCAUAACUUUUGCUAUAGUUGACCACUUCGCAUGCCAUUAAUGAGUGAAAAAUUAGGUCAUGAGCACUUUGAAAUGGUAUUAAGAAUGUAAUAUUUUGAUUUCAUUUGGUAUUCCGACGAAUGCAUCAAAGUAGAUUGUAAAAAACAAAACAAAGAAAAAGAGCAAAAUUUUGUAGGGUCAUUUGACCAACAUGACCCAUGUGGGUCCGCCCUGAGCGAGGGAAGAAAUAAGGGAUUCAAAUUAAUAAUCCGGAUGCGAUUGAUGCAUGGGGUGUGAAUCUAUGCUAAAUAGGCAGAUUGUGUAGAUCGUCCGAAAACUAAUUUCUAGAAAAGUACCAAACACAAAAGUUCUGCACAAGAACAGAAAAGGCAAAAAAAGAUAUAUCCCAAAACCUAUUAUAUCCGAGAAAAGAUCUCCACAUUUAAUCUCUACUAUAAUAUUUUGGAGAAAAACCGAGAAAGUAGUGAGAUUUUGAGAAGCCAAUAUAUCAAGUAAACCACGACUGACAGAGUUGGUUUAGCAAUACGAUUAUUCAAUUUACCACUUUCAUGGGUUUUCAACGUUAUGACUCCUCAACUUUAAUUUUUAAUUCUAAAUCUAUUUGGUAUUCCCUAUAUCCCAAGUUAGAAUGUAAGACAAUUAACUUCAUCAGCUGGAGCAGAAUGGAACCUUCAUAACAAAAAAGUUAAAAAAGUCCAAGCAUCAAUAAUAAAGUCAAAGCUAAUAUAUUCAAUAAAAGAAAAUAUUUAUCCACGCAGAAAAAUCGAGGUAGAAUGAAGAAAGACAAUGGUGACAAGAAAUAAGAAACAAUAUAUCCAAAAAAUCAUGCUACCAAUUUCUUGGGAUAUUCCAUGGGCGAAAGCAGUUUUCCCAGUACCAAGAGGGCCAACAAGUAAUAAUGCACAUUUACCCAUCUUCUUUUGGCAUAUCAUAUCGACCACAAGGCCAGCAUCUUCCCUCGUUGAUGCCUGACACACAAAUCCAGCAGCCAAAGGUAUUGCUUCUCCAUUUGGCUACAAUAGAAUCAGCCAGAAACAAAAUAAAUUCAUUUAAUUUCUUCGCUUGAUCAUGUGAAGACAGAUAAGCAUUAAUUCACAUUUUAAGAAGUAAAAAUUGGAGACUUGUUAGACUUCUGUGCGCCAUUGUUGUCAAGCCUUGAGACAUCCUUAAGAAGACGGCCCCAUGAAAACUACAAUGAACAUGUUAAAUUUAGUGUACACAUUUCAUAACUACACAUCAAUAAAUAAAUGCACAACUACUAUUAGAGAAUUAAACUUGAUAUCAGGAAGAAACACAAGGAAAACAUUUAAUCAAGAAAUCUUUAACGCAAUAAAUAAAUAAAUAAAUAACAAAAAUAAUUCCUUUCAAAUUCCAAAGGAACGAAGCAAAAGUUACACCUUUAAGUGAGAAAUUGAACAAUCAAAAGCAAAGAUAUUUUAGUUUGAAGCUCACGCCUCUUAAGACAUGCUUUUCACCAAUUGACUUGUAGACAUUCCUACAUUAAAUAAGCACAUCUAACUCAUUCUCAAUCUCCUUUCUCAUACUCAUUGAGCAAAAUAUGGUAGGAUCUAGCAUAUAAACUUGAAAAAUGUAAGCAGACAAAAGGCGGAUAAAGGGGACGGGAAAAGAAUAAAAAAAAUAUUUUACAAAACAAGAAGUGCAAAAGAUCUAUGCAACCUCUAUAUCUAAAGGAGUAAUUGUGGCAGCCAAAACAAAAAGCACGAGAUGGAAAGUGAUACUUAUAGAUGGAAACCACACAUGCCACAAAUAGGGAUGUCGACCGAAAUUCUAGGCUCGGGCUCGGCUCGGGUAAAAUAACCAAGCUUUUUUCUAGGCCUGAGCCGAGCCGAGCAAAAGCUCAGCAAAAAAAAUUAUGCUCGACCCGAGCUUUUGGCUUGGGCCUUUCUAAGCCGAGCUGGACCAGCUCGGGUUUUGUUUGGUUUUGGAAUUUUUUUUUUUUAAAUAAAAUGGCAGCAGGUUGCUACCUUAAAUGGCAGCUUAAAUAAGCUGCCAAAAAUGGCAGCAACUAAAUGGCGACAGGUUGUUGCCAAACAAGGCAGCAACCUGCUGCAGCAGCACGCUGCCUACCUUUUAUUAUUAUUAUUUUAAUUUUUUUUUAUAUAUAUGCUCCGAGCCGGCGAGCGAUACGGGCCGAGCCGAGCUUUGCCCGGCACCUAAAAAUGAGACUCGGCUCGAGCUUUGGCUCACGGGCGGCCCGAGCCGACGAGCCCGAUUGCCAUCUCUAGCCACAAAUAUAUAGUAAAUUUGACAUCACCUACAACAGGUUUUCCACGACACAAGGUAAAAACUAUGACACCUUCUCUGCCCCAAAGACGUGCAGCCAAUUAAUUACCAAGUAUACACAGGCACCAAAGACUGUGGGGAAUGAGUUGAGAAAAUUAACCAUAUAGCAUACAUUUUGCCCAAGACGGUGCUUUGCAUAUAAAAAUAAAUGAUACACUCAAUCAAUAGUUACACUUACAGACAUAGUUAACGUCCACGCGCAAAUUCAAUAGCUUCUGGAUCUGCAUGCCACCAAAUUUAACUAGACAAAUCCAUGGAAAUUUCUUUCCAUCUGCUAUAGAUAGCUAAUUCUAUGGGAAAUACGUUGAGAGAUUUGAAGGAAAACAUAAGUACAGAAGAAAAUUGAAGGAUGUUAAGAAUGUUCUACGUACGAACUCAACUUAACCUAAGAGAAUCCAAUCGAGCCAAAAAAACCCAAUUACAAAAGAUUACUGUUCUGUCUUCAGCUGAAGCAGAGUAUUUGGUUAACUAGGCUUCUUAAAGAACUUGGUUUUAUGGAUAUAAAUCUUGUUAUUUUCUCUAAUAAUCAAAGUGCAAUAUAUUUGAGUAAAAACUCCAUGUUUCAUGAUGGGACAAAAAACAUUGAUAUCAAAUAUCAUUUUAUAAGGGAUGUUAUUUCAAGAUGAUUAAUUAAGAUUAAUAAAGUUUAUACUUCUCUUAAUCCUUCUGACAUGGGAACAAAAAUGAUACCUUUAAAGAAGUUUCAGAACUAUUUAAAGUUACUAUCUCUUGACACUUUGCAUUGAAAUUAUAAAUUGCUGGUGAAGCUCGUGGUUGCAAAAAUUGCCAAAAUUGUUGGAAGCAAGGUGGAGAUUGUUGUGAUUCGAACCUUGGAUCAAAUGAAGUGAAAGUGUUCUUCCAAAANNNNNNNNNNNNNNNNNNNNNNNNNNNNNNNNNNNNNNNNNNNNNNNNNNNNNNNNNNNNNNNNNNNNNNNNNNNNNNNNNNNNNNNNNNNNNNNNNNNNNNNNNNNNNNNNNNNNNNNNNNNNNNNNNNNNNNNNNNNNNNNNNNNNNNNNNNNNNNNNNNNNNNNNNNNNNNNNNNNNNNNNNNNNNNNNNNNNNNNNNNNNNNNNNNNNNNNNNNNNNNNNNNNNNNNNNNNNNNNNNNNNNNNNNNNNNNNNNNNNNNNNNNNNNNNNNNNNNNNNNNNNNNNNNNNNNNNNNNNNNNNNNNNNNNNNNNNNNNNNNNNNNNNNNNNNNNNNNNNNNNNNNNNNNNNNNNNNNNNNNNNNNNNNNNNNNNNNNNNNNNNNNNNNNNNNNNNNNNNNNNNNNNNNNNNNNNNNNNNNNNNNNNNNNNNNNNNNNNNNNNNNNNNNNNNNNNNNNNNNNNNNNNNNNNNNNNNNNNNNNNNNNNNNNNNNNNNNNNNNNNNNNNNNNNNNNNNNNNNNNNNNNNNNNNNNNNNNNNNNNNNNNNNNNNNNNNNNNNNNNNNNNNNNNNNNNNNNNNNNNNNNNNNNNNNNNNNNNNNNNNNNNNNNNNNNNNNNNNNNNNNNNNNNNNNNNNNNNNNNNNNNNNNNNNNNNNNNNNNNNNNNNNNNUUGGAUGACAAAGUAGCAUAUAUGUUUUUAAAUAUCAUACCGUGACAACCAUCAGGGAGGUAUGGAUUUCCUUGAUAACCUCCCGAACAUAAACAGCGAUACCCCAUAACCAUCAUCGGGUUUGUAACACUUGGAAUUUUUGCUUUUACAUGCAUAACUAGACAUGUACUUUAAGCCUCCUCACAAGUUCCAUUCCCUAUUGCCCAAUCAACCACCGUAGGAAGCUUCGUACAUUCCUCAGACUGGAAAAUUUUCUCGGAUAAAACCUGAAUUCACUUUCCUCAACAAGAAAACCAUAGCUACAAUUAUUAAGUUUUCAUAGCUCUUCAAAGUCACCUCAACUCUCCAAACCUCUUUUGAAAUAGGCGUCUGGCAAUAGCCUAAACCCGAACACGAGCCGUCCACCAAAUCAUCCUCGUUAUCACACAAGGCAGUGUAACCUGUCUGGUAAUUCCUGUUAUUCCGACGCCCAGAUACAAAAUCAUAAAUAUCGCAACCAACAACAGUGAACUUAUUCUCUGUAUUAUUUACCGUAAGGUAUACUGUACAGGCAAAUUUAUGGGAGAACUAUACAACACUCUGGUUCCAGUCUGAGAAUAACAGUCUUUUGCAAUAAAUUGCAAGAGGCGUAACUGGCUCUCCAGGGAUAUAUUGGUGAUUUAUAUGGUGGUGUUCUGUACGAAUGCCUUGGGAGAUUUGUAGAUUUCAUUACAAGUGACAAAGAAACUUCGGUUAAGGUAACAGUAUUCUGUGGUGCCAAAAUAGUAUUUGGUUUGGAUCAACUUAUUUGGACUUCUUGAUGGCUACUGAAUGACAAACUGAGAAGAAGCCUACAUAUACAGUGCAAAACCUCCUUGACCGAUAAUCCUACCAUCGUGGAAGCUUUUUGUGGCCUUCUUUAGCUCAGCAGAAGUGAAUUUUUUGCCGUAUCUGGUGACUUCUCUCUUCAGGUAGUUGUUCUUGCAACAAUAGUCCACCAUUUGAUGAAAGAAUUUGUGCGUCAUCCUGAUCAACUUUUAUUUUUUGUGGAUAUCAAGUCCGAUAAUAGUGAUUCCUGGAAUAUAUUUCUGUAGUGUGUCUUAGCUUCAGUAUCACUCUCUUAUUGUGAAAAUAAUGUGCUAAAAAUUGGAAAACAACAUGUGAUUAAAAAGGUUAUAAGUCAUGUAUCAAUAUUCAUUCUUCUGAGCAAUUUAAUAUAAUGAAACUAUAAAACUGAAAGCAGAUAGUCAUUUUGUACCAGAUGGUAACAAGGAUUGCAUAAGCAAUCUCUUUGCCAAUCCCAACUGAAUCAAACAUAGUAAUCAAAUUUGAAUCCACGAAACUUAAAAUCAAAUAAAGAUUAGGUCUAGGCAUGUUAGACAUAUUAUCAUAAUUCAAUUCAACGAGUCGUAUACUAUUAUUUGAGUGAAAACUAGAGUCAAUUAAACGUCAACCCAACUCCUAAUUUUUUUUGGAAGUUGCAAUGUCUCUAAUUGUAUUCCAUGUCACCUUAUUAUUAUUAUUUUUUUUUUAUACCUACAACCUACUCGAUUUUAAGAGUGAAUUCUACACAAUUAAUAUCAAUAUAUCUCUCUUCUACAAUAACUAAUUUUUAAAACCACCAAGGAGUCGAUUCUAAAAGCAAGGGUGAAAUGUGCACGGAGGGGAAGUGGAGAAAGGGAGAGUGAGAAAAGCUAGCUACAGCAAUGGAACAAUUGGGCCAAGCUGCAACAAGUUUUAUUACAGGUGUUUGAACAAGGAUGCAACCUCGUCAAUCCUUUCUUUCUUAGCCAUGAUAACCUUUUAGGAAAUCACAAAUAAAAAAAAAAAAAAAAACCCAUGUGUGCCUGUGCUACAAAAAAAUUCUGGUUAAACAGACGACCAUGCACAAAAGCAUUAGUAUCACAAUCAACUACAGUGAACUUAUUCGUGGUAUUAGAGGUGAGGCACCAGGUUAAUCGUAUGGAGAUUUCAUUUUGGACUACUCCGGUGCCAUUCUGAUCAUAACAGGCUCUUUCUAUGUAUUUUAGGACGUGCAUUUUGCCCUCAAGGUUUAUGUUUGAGUCUAGUAAGAAUGGUUUGGGAGGAUAGUAUAGCGUGUCAAUAUUAAAAGUGACUAAGAAAUUAAAGAAAUGUUUAGGUAACAGCCUUUCCUUGUGUCAAAAGGGAAGGGAAUACUCACAUCAUGUCCACAAAGUUCAGUUGGGCUUUGCUCUUUGGUAAUUUGCUCGAGUAGGCAGAGUUGCUAGAAGGAAUUGGGCUUGCAGCAAAUAUUUAUUCAAUCUAUUGUGACUCUAAUUAUAAUUCUUUAUGUAGGGAUGACAAAAUUUCUCGCAUCCAAUUCAUCCCAUAUUCCACCACCUGGGAUGAGGUGGGGAAUUCACUCCUGAAUAGCAGCGCAUAGAUGGGGAACAUGAUCCCACCUAAAUUCCCCAAACCCCCGAAUCUUUUAUUUUAUUAUAUUAUUUAUAUAUUUUUCUACUGAACUCAUAUUUAAACAAUAACUAAAUUAUAAAACGGUGAUAUUUCAAUUUCACUGUGCCCCGUUGUCAUCCCUAAUCCUCCUAAUCUGGUUUGCAUUAGCCCUCGUUUGGCCCCCAUUUUUUGAAAUAAAAAUGGGUGGAAUAGUAUUUUUUUAAAAUGAGUGGUUAAAAAAGAAGGAAAAAUUUUCGAUUUACGUGUAAUAUUAUUUUAUGGAAUAUUAUGUGGUUCAAAAUAGAAAAGAUAAAAAUGAAAUGUAAUGUAAUGGGAGCCAAAGGAGGACUAAGUAACAGACUCACGUCUGAGGAAUUAUAAAAUUGAAAAGAUGUCUGGUAGAAUGGAAUCUUCUGUAACUUUGCAAGUCUUCAAAUAGUCAAUUAACGUAUAAUCUUGACUAGAAAAGUCUCCUUUAUGAAGUGUUUACAGGAUCAAUUCCUUCAUCGACGAAAGCUAUUUUGCAUUAAUGUAUACUGUUUGUUUACGGCAAUCUGAUUUUACAGAUUUGUUUAUAAGAUUCGAUAGCCGAUUUUGAAUAUAUACAACAAAGAUUCUUGAUAAUCAUAAUGAUAUGAAUAUAGAUAUAUCAUAAAUGAUUAUUAAUUAAAAUGCGGACAUGUUCAUAUGAAAUCAUUCUACAAGUACAAAAUUUUUUGAAAGGAAAAUUUUACAAACAACACAUGGCGCGACAUUAUUGGAAGAUGAAAAGAAAAGAAAAAAACAAUCCACUUACAUUUUGCUACGUUAGUAUUCUACAACUUCUGUUAAAAUUUUCCUAUACUUAUAUUUUAUUGAUUCUUUUUCAUUGACUGUAUUCUAAUGACAGAAUUAUAACCUAAAAAUAUGUUUUCUAGAAUGGGUUCUUAUGUCAGUUUGCUUUCGCCAUUAUUGACCAAAAAUGUCGGUCAACAUAUUUUUUUAUGCCUAACCUUAACGUGUCUAUGAGGCCACAUUGUGAAAAGCUACUGAUGAUGUAAGCAUAAUUUGAUUUAAAGUAAAUUAAGUUGACAUAUUGAAAUAUUUGAUUAAAUAGUCGGACAUUUUUCUCGCUUAAUAAUUAUCAAGUUCUUCUCUUUCAUAAAAAUAAUUUCGUUUCUCAUUUUUAGUAGCAUGUUAAAUUUGAAGUUUCUCAUUUUCUUAAAAUGUUUAUUUUUUUUCUUAUUUAAUCAAGAUAAGGGCACUGUUUUUAGUUUGAACAAAGUGAAUCGUUGUUGAAAUUAUUUUAAGCACUGUUUGAUAUAUAUCAGACAUUAAAGUUAUUGCAUUACUUACUCGUCCUAGAAAAUUUAACUCCAUGACCUAAUCUAACUAUCGAAGUUUCAUUUAUUGUACUCACAACUCAAGAAGUAGCAAAAUUUCUUGCUAGAACGAAUUCAAGAAAGAAGUAAUUAAUUGAAGUUGGUUAGCGAAAUUGUGCAUUGAAAAAAAUGUAGGAAAGUUUCUAGUUGUCAAAAGUAAGUAUAAAAUAAAACACAAAAUUGGGAGAUGAUAACAGUGUAUCAACUACAUUAAUAUUGCCAAUCUUGCAAGUCCAAUAUUGUAAUCUCAUCCACAUCCUUAGUUCACAUAUAAGGAAACUAACACAAGAUAAAAUCAUAAAUUAACUCGACAACUAUAACGCCAAUCUCGCCAAUACUAUAUGAUCUCACUCCUUAUGCUACACACUAUCUCCCACUAAUAUGAUCCCUCAUGCUAUCAUAUCCAAUAGCUGUGCUACUGCCCUCACCAUUUGCAAUUGCAAAGGCAUUCAUUUUCCUAGAAAGCAGGGAUUCAGACUCUUCUUCAAUGGGUUCUAUUUGGUUCCACGAUUGUUUUCCUGCUAAUCUCAGACCUUCAAGUUCCAUAGCUACUUCUUUCAUACUAGAUCUAUCCUCCCCUUUAACAUGUAAACACCUUUUCGCAAGCAUAGCAACUGAUGUUAACUUCUCACUAUUUCCUUCACAUACAAUAUUAUCAUCAAGAACUUGGAAUAAGUUGCUUUGCUUCAAUUUUGAGAGAAAAUAGUUGGCUAAACAUCUCUCCUCCUUUGGUCUAUCAUAACUCAAUGCCAUCUUCCCCAUUAGUAACUCUACCAGGACUACUCCAAAGCUAUAAACAUCACUUUUUCCUGUCAAUUGGUUUGUUUGCAUGUAUUCAGGAUCUAAAUAUCCAAAAGUUCCUUGCACCACAGUAGAUAAUUGAGUUUGAUCAAUAGGAACCAAUCUUGAUGCUCCAAAAUCAGAAACUUUGGCCGUGAAAGUAGUGUCUAAAAGAAUAUUUGUUGAUUUGACAUCUCUGUGUAUGAUUGGAGGAGAAGCCGCUGAAUGCAAAUACGCAAGCGCUCCAGCAGCCUCUGCAGCUACUCUUAACCGCAUAUCCCAACAAAAAGAACGUGCCUUUGCUUUGUUCUGUAUAUGUUCAAAGAGGGUGCCAUUGUUGAUGAAUUCGUAAACUAAGAGAGGAGCUUGAGUUUCUAAACAACAACCAAGGAGCUUGACAACAUUCCUGUGAUUGAUCUGGGAAAGAACAAUCACUUCAUUUAUAAAUUGCGCUACUUGGAUUGCGUCAAUUUCUUUCGACUUUUUUAUGGCAACCAUUCUAUUAUCUGAUAAGAAGCCUUGGUAUACAGUGCCAAAGCCUCCUUGACCAACAACUAUAUUAUCAUGGAAGUCAUUUGUUGCCUUCUUGAGCUCAGUGAAAGUGAAUAUUUUUGCUCCAUCUGGCGACAGUUCUCUUUGGGUAAGUUCUUCUUGCAACAAUUGUCCACCAUUUCGAAGAAAGAAAGUGUACCUCAUCUUGACCAACUUUUUUUCCUGGAGUACGGAGCAUAACAACCAGAUAGCAAGCACAAUAAAAGUGAUUCCUAGAGAAAUCCCUGUAAUGUAAAUUUUAUGUUAGCUUCAUUGCCACAUUUCUUUUGUUAAACAAAUGAGCGUGGAAGAAGUAGAUAAUGUAAAUAUCAAUAUUCUAUAUUGUUUUAGGUAAUUUAGUAUAAAAGGAACUAUAACAUUAAAAGCAAUUACUCCUUUAGUAACAUCUGGCAAAGAGGAAAUUCAAGGUCAGCCCAAUGACUAGCUAGAAUUUUGUUGGAGGCUUGACGUUGAGAUAAAAUAUAUAUAUAUAAAGCUACACACCUACUCACUUUUGGGUGGGUGGGGAAGGAAAUUAGAAUUGCUUAUCUACACCCAUGGAAUAGUGGAUCUAGUAACCUGUAGCAACUUCGAAGACAAGUGAUUGACCAUGGAUGCAACCUUGUCCAUCAUUUUUACCAUCUCCAUGGUAGCCUUUAGGGCACACACACCUAAAACCCCCUGGUGUGUUCUCACAUUUCUUCACACAUUUAUGGACGCUUUGAUCCUUACAUUCAUCAAUGUCUGCAUAACAAAUAUAAGAUUAAUAAGAAGGAAUAAUGAAGUUAAAAUCUUGUUUAUUAUAUCGUGAACAAUAUGGUGUUAGAUCAUUUAUGUACUUCAAGAUAAUAUAGCCAUACCUUUACAGCCGCGAUCGUAAUCGAGGUACGAAUUUCCUUCAUAACCUUUCUGGCAAUAACAACGAUACCCAUAACCAUUAUCAGGUUCACAACAAUAGGAAUUCUCACUUUUACAUGCAUAACUGUAAAUGUUAUUUCGAGCCUCCUCACAAGUUCCUUCUCCAACUACCCAGUCAACCACCCUUGGAAGCUUUUUCACAUUCCUCAAGUCGAAAAGACUACUUGCGGAGAAAUUGAAUGCACUUUCCUCAGCUAGAAAAGCAUAGCCACAAUUAUUGAAGUCCGACACAUUUGUGAAAUUAUCAAAGCUACCCAAUGUCACAUUAACUGUCCGCACCUGUUUUGGGAUAGGUAUAUGGCAACAGCCUAAACCAGAGCAUGAGCCAUUGACUAGAUCAUCCUUCUUGUCACAUAGGGAAAUACACCCUAUCUGAUAUUUCCGAUUCUCCAGGCGCCCAAAUACAUAAGCAUAAGUAUCACAACCAACGACAACGAACUUAUUGGCAAUAUUAUUGACCAUGAAUCUAAAGGGCACUCUUGAAGAGGUACUUCGAUAUGACACUCUGAUGCCAUCCGGAGAAUAACAGUCUCUUGCUAUGAAUUGCAAAACACGCAAUUGGCCCUCCAGGGUUAUGCUUGUGAUAUUUAUGCAUGUGUCCGUCCAGAAUAGUUCUGGUGGAUCAUAGUGGGUGUCAUUACAAGUGACUAAGAAUGAUUUGUUAAAGUAACAGCCUUCGCUCAUGCCGAAAGGGAAGGGAAUACUUAUAUUUCCAGAACGAUCCAUACAGUUUGGCUUUGCUAUUUCGAAAUUUGCUUGAGUAGAAACAGAUAAAAGCAGAAUUGACGCAAGUAGUUUGGCUUGCAGCAAAUGCAAAUGCAAUCCCAUGGUUCUUUUGUAGUCUAACCGAACUCCAACCCACGAACUAUAUAAACACGUUUGCUCGUAUAGAUUUCCAAAGCCACAAACAUCUUAUCUUGACUAGAAAAGUCUCCUCUUGAAGUGUUUAGAGGGGCAAUGUUUUAAUUGUCGAAAAUUACGUUGCAUUGCCAUAAAAUUUCUUUGAUUGACUCGUUUGUGUUUUAUCCGCUAACUAAUUUUGAAUAAUAUACACUAAAGAUUUCUGCAUGUGGUUAAGAUUUAUCGCUUGCAUUAUCUCUUCUAUAAUUUACAAUUUUUAUCCUAGUUUCUUGUCAACAACUCAGUACUUCGUAGUGCAUGAACAAAUCCUUACAUGACUCAGCAAGUCGACCGGACGAAACACAACAAUAUUGAGGAAAAGGUGCAUUGCUUUAUAACUAUAAAGCAAUGAGUGGGACAUGCAGUACUCUAUACGAAUUCAUUGUGUAUUAUGGGAUUGCUAAUAUGACAAAGCCUCUUGUAAAAGUUUAAGCAAUUUUGAUAAAAAAAAAAAAAAAAAAAAAAAAAAUUGGUAUAAUGAGUGGUUGAAAAGUUAAUAAAAUUAUAGAUUUUAUGAAAACCCUGUUUGUUAGAAAUUAAAAUUUAGAUUUUAAUGUAAUCCCUUGUUUGAGCCCCAUUUUUUGAGGGGGAAACAAGGAAUUCUUUAAUUGUAUUUUGACUUUAUUUCAACCAUACAUUCUUCAAUAAAAUAUUAUUAUACGUAAAUUGAAAAAAAUUUCUUAUUUUUAAACCACACAUUUUUCAUCAAUAUACUAUUUAAAAAUUCAUUUUUUGACAAAAAUGGGCUCAAACAAGGGUUAAGUAAAAGUCAACAACUAAUUUUAAUCACACAUUUUAUAAGACCCACUACUUUUCAAUCACACAUUUCAUCAACAUGUAUCAAAAUCUACUAAAAUUUUGAUUUUAAUCCUCAUCAAAUUAGAGUGAAAUAUGUGAUUAAAAUUUAAACUUGAUCGGUUCAAAAUUUAAUUAAAAAAAUUAGAAAAUUCUUAUCACCAUUAAUGCCUUCUCCUAUUUAUUUAAUCUAUUUAAUUAUGAGAAUGACAUUUGCUAGACUUUCCUGGGUCAUAUGAUUAGGACCGCUUCUUCAAAUAACUAAAAAACCAAAAGAUGCUUCCUAUACCAAACAUUCAAGGACUUGACUCUCGUCGUGUGGAAUUGUAAUCUAUAAUAUAUUAAUUAUUAUAUUAAGUGAGAAUUAAUUUUUGGACAAUUUUAGUCAUACUAUAAUUCAAUUUUUUCGUUAAUACAUUACUUUUCGUUUUUGCAAUAUAUAUUUAAUAUUCAGUUAAAUUCCUCUAUUUAUGUGCAUGUAUAAUAAUUAAUGUUUACGCUAAGGGAUUUGCGUUUCUCUCAUAUUUAUAUCAAAAUUGGGAAAAUUAGUUCAUCAAGUUUAUGUACACUUAGAGAUGUAAACGAGUCGGGCCGAGCCGACUCGCGAGCCUAAAAGUUCGGCUCGAGCUCGGCCCGGUUAAAAUGACCGAGCUUUUUUGCGGGCUUGAGCCCUCGGUCAAAAAAAAAAAAAGAGGCUCGGCCCGAGAUUUUGCUCGGGCUUUUUUCGGGCCAAGCCGGGAAGGCCCGUUUUCUCCCCCCCUUUUUUUUCCCCAAGCUGCUGCCUUCAAGCCUACCUCAUUUUAAUUUUAAUUUUUUUUUAAAAAAAGCUCGCGAGCGCACGAGCCGGCUUGGGCAAAGCCUGUGUCCCCAAAAUGGGGCUCGGCCCGAGCCUAGGCUCGGGUCUACUGAGCCCCGAGCCGGCGAGUUCGAUUGCCAUCUCUAUGUACACUUGGCUAUUCAAUUACUCUAGAAGUACAUAAAUUAUUUAUUUUCAUGUACACUCAUUUAUUUUCAUGUUUAUUCAUUUAAUCUAUGAUAUAAAUUUAUGCUCGAGGUUUACGUACACACUCUUUUGUCUAAACUAAUUUUCAAGAUCACGUAUAUAUAAAUAAAUUUUGAAUAAUACUUUAUUUUUUCGUUUUUCAAUAGGUAUUUAACAUUCAAUUAAGCAUUUCACUAUUUAUUUACAUGCAUGUCUAUUAAUUAACGUUUAUUUCCAGGGACUUGCAUUUCUCUCAUAUUUAAAUUAAAACAGUGCAAAUUAAUUUUUCAAAUUCAUGUACAUUAACUUUUACAGUACUUAAAAAGAAAUUCAAAAUAACGUGCAAUAUACAUUUACCUCUUAUUAGUCUUCAUAAAAAGGACAAAAAGUAUUAUCACGACUUGACAUAAGUGGUAGUGCCCACAGCAAAAAUGAAUGUUGUCUAUGUCACGGAGUUGGAAUAUUUUACUGGCUUUAUAAAAGACUAGUCGUUGUCACGUGCGUUGUACGAUUUUUAUAUUUAUUGUAUUUUUAUUACUAUCAAAGUUGUAGUUUUUUUCAAAACUUGUUAAAGAUUCGAAGUGUUUAGUAAAGUCCGAUUGUUUGCUUCAUUGCAAUUAAAAGACUUUUAUAAUAACUUUUUUUUUGUUUUUAUUUUCGCAUGUAAUUUUUUUCUUUAAUUUGUUAAACCAUUUAGUUUUUUUAUUCAUGUUGGUGUAAAAUGAUAGUUACAAUUAAGUUCACUUAUUUUUUUGAGAUUAUGCUUUCUCCAGUUAUUUCUUGUACAAUGUUCUAACAUUUGAAUUUUUGCGAGAUGGAAUACCUUUUAAAUGUGGAGUUGAGAAGGAUAAUUCUCGAUUUUAGUCAUUAUCUUGAUUUUUUUUUUAUUUUUGGAAAAAAAAUUCAUCUCAAAUAAUAAAAUAAGGAGUGAAUAUAACAUACAUUGUUCAAGAUUUAAUUAUUAUUAAUUAAAUAAUUAAUAUUUUUUAUAAUUAUAUAUAAGAUAUAUCAGUCAUUUAUCAUAUUAAUAGAAUAAAUGGGCCAUUUUGCAAUUCAACAUAGGGAAACGAUAUAAUGUAAAUGUAGGGAAAAAGGGAUAAAAAUGAAAUGAAACAUAAAAUAAAAAAAAAUUAUUAUAAAGUUUUUUAAUUAAAUUAAAAUAAUUAAAACUUAAAAAUAAAUAUUAUUGAAUUACAAUUGAAAAAAUUGCAUUUUCUCAUAAAACAAAAAGAACUAAAAUGAAUUUUAAAUCGAACAAUUUUUUUUUUAUAAUAUGAAGAAAAAAUAAAUUUUAAAACAAUUUAAAAAAAUAAUAAAAAAAAGAAAGUGAUCAAAAUUAAAUAAAGAAUAUAUAAAUAUUAUUUAGUUAAAUUAAAAAAAUUAAGUUUUAUAAUGAAGAGAAAAGAAUUAAGAAGAAUUUUAAAUUAAAAAAUUAUUUAUAAUGUAAACAAAACAAAUAAAAGAAAGAAAAAAGGAAAAGAAAUUCUCUCCGAAGAGAUUUCUCUCCAUUUACACUGAUUUAUUUCCAUCCACACACAUUCAAAUGUAUGGGAUGGACUCUCCAUCCCACAUUAUUAUUAUUAUUAUUAUUAUUAUUAUUAUUAUUAUUAUUAUUAUUAUUAUUAUAGAUGGUUUUUUUCUAUUUAAAAAAAAUUCUUUUAAUUCUUUUCUAUUUACGAUAAAACUUAAUUUUUUAAUUUUAAUUAAACAAUAUUUAUAUAUUCUUUAUUUAAUUUUCGAAACUUUCUUUUAUUUCUUUUUUAUUAUUUUUUUAAAUUGUUUUAAAAAUUCUUUUUUUGUUAAAUUAUAUGUAAUAUUUUGUUCGAUUUUUAAAAUUCUUUUUAAUUCUUUUUGUUUUUACGAUAAAAUGUAAUUUUUUCAAUUUUAAUUAAAUAAUAUUUAUUUUUAAUUUUAAUUACUUAAAUUUAAUUUAAAAACUUUAUAAUAACUUUUUUUAUUUCUUUUUAUUUUUUCCUGUAUUUUUUUUGUUAUUGAAUGUGUUAAAUCAUUUAGUUUCUUUUCUUUAUCAGUUAGAUUAGAUGAUGUGAAGCAGUGCGUGAAAAUUGAGAAAUAUUGUAAUGGAAUUGAUGGUUACAGUGAAAUGAUGUGUGGAAAUAGAGAAAUGAUUGAAGACAAACGUUGUUUUUGCUCCGAAAAUAAAAAUAAUGUCACUAAAUGAAAGAAUCUACAGUUGCCUCAGUAACAAACAAAGAUGAAACAAGAACAGGAGCACUUUCUUCAAGCACUCUCUGCAGGAUACUGAGCAGUUCUUCAGGAGAUUUUGGCCCCUCAACCUGCACAAUUAAAGCAGGCCAGGGAAACAAGUCAAUUUUAUAAUUAGGAUAAUAUAACUGUGUGUAAUAGAAUAAAGUUUUUUAGGUUCCAAAUGACUUGAGAUAUCUCCCCUUUCCUUUAUUUUUUUUUUCCAUAAUUUCUAACACAAGAUAUACGUACAAAUAUAUGAGACAAAUGUAUAUAAUAAAAUUAGACAACAUAGAAUGUCUAAGCAGUGACAAAUUUUCAUCCUCUUAAAUUAGACAACACAGAAUAAAGGAUUAAAUUAGUUGAUCAGCUUUUAACCAAUUUUCCCAUCAUGGACAGUGACAUUUGAGUUCCAUGACAAAUCUUUUAAAAGUUUGAUUUUAUUGAACACCCUCAUCAAGAAUAAUCUUCAGUUCAAAACACACCAAUAAGCAUGAGGAAUAUCCCUGAACUACACCUUACAAAUGAUUAGUGCAAAAUAUAUAAUCAGGUUAACAAAAAUAUGAACAGGCAUAUAUUGAUUGAUGCCAGAUGAAUAAGAUGAAUGCUGACAGAAUGUAGUAAAACCUCAUGCCUCAAAUUCAAACUUAUUCUAUAAAUCAACAAACAAACAAUUUGGAACAAACUUCAUCUAAAGACUAAGAAAUCAAUCCAUGAGAAUAUACAAGUGGAGAUAGGACGACAACUUCAGGAAUGCCUAACAACUCCUCUUCCAAAAGGGUCCAGAAGAUGCAGUAAAGGAAUAAUUUAAACGAUAACGAUGUAGCUAUAAGUCUUCAGACACUCUGCAAUGCAAACACGAUAGCUGGCAUCCUCACAGGCUUCUUGCACAUGAAACACCAACUUAUCCAAAUCCUUUUACUCCAAAGACUAUCAGCACAAAGAAUGCAUCCUAAAGGCUAGAAGCAUUCCAGGUGCAGAAAGAGGCUUACUUCAAAGAUUUUCUGUUUUAAAUUACUUUCCAAGAAAAGAAUUGUCACACACCCACUUAUACAUAUCCCUUUUCUCCUUCAAAAGACCAUCAGCAGUAACAAUUUCUCUCUAGAAAUCAACGUGCUAUGAUUUUUGAUAACAAUUUUUCCUUUUACUGCAUCAUGGGAAUGUGAAUGAAAAUGAAUGUGUUGCAUGCUUUUGUUUUUGUAAACAAAAUUUUGGUUUUAUAGAACCAGACCUGAACUGGAUGGUACAGGUCCAUGUCAGUUCCACCCUUACAUGGAACUGUUCCAUGAAUAAAAUUCUCAUUUUCAAUUGGUACAAUCUGAGCCCACCACCAAUCGUCCUUUCAGAACCCACUAAAAUAUAAAAUAAGUGCAUCACAGUUACAAGCAAAGCAUGAAACAUUUGCAACAUUCUAAAAAUUUGCAAAAACAUCACAGUGUGUCAUCGUCAUUGCUGCCAAUCUUUGAAGUCGUAAACCAAAUAGUAAGUUAACUGUCAUAUUAGACAUGUCAUAUCUCAUACCUUCCAACAAUAACGUGGAUCGACAUCAAUUCCAAAAAGCCGAAAGCAGUUACUGAAAAAAGAAGGCAAGAAAUGACUCCAGCACUUGAUUUAUCUUUGCUGCAAGGAAGACUGGCAAAUUUCAUCAAUUGUAUUUAAAGUUUGAGCCAUUGGUUCUUUAUGUUGGCGAUUGUUCACUUUGGAGAUGCCUCUCAGUGCUACACGAAAAGGCAUUGUUAAAAAAACAUGAUUUUCCUAAAUUAAUAUUGGCAACAUAUUAAUACAAUUAUAUUAGCUAUUUAAUAUAAUGGGCAAAAAUCAAGUGGUCUAUUUUUUUGUCUGUCCAUAGACUACUCAAAUUAAUAUGGACUAAGUGAGUAGAUACCAGCUAAUAUUACUCUAAUUAAGGGAUAAUGGGAACCUUAAUUAAGUAGUAUAUAAAGGUUAUUUUGGUUAUGGUCCCCAAUAUACCAAAUCAUACACUCUUUUCCCUUCUCCCCAUCAAAAAGAGAAAUCACGGUCCCAUUGAGGAAUAAGGAGAUUUGGUUGAGGAAGAUCACAAAAACCACCCUCUUCAUUUGCAUUCAUCGGUACGUAGUCGAUUGUCGCAGUAAUUCCACAAUAGUAGGCAAUCGUUUACAAUGGAUACAGGUAUAUUAUGUGAAUCUGUGAAUCCUAGUAAUUUAGCAUGAUGUUGAUCCUAGGAUUUAAUUUAUAUUUGGAUCUAAUUUGAUUUUCUAACAAGUGGUAUCAGAGCGGUCAUC